rnacentral:lncRNA from 1 species
CUCUCAAGACUGUGCAAUAGCGUGUGAUCUACUGUACAUGUAUUACGAUUUUUAGAGCCAAGCUCUUAGUAUUGUGCAGUAACGUGUGAUCUACUGUACAUGGGUUGUGAAACAGAGCCAGGCUCUCAGACUAUGUAGUAGCGUGUAAUCUACUGUACAUGCAGUUGUUUAAUUUCGAGCAUAAGCUCAUGGUGAUUAAACUAUGCUUGUGAUUCACAGUUCAUGUUAGGACAGGAUCAUGUUUAGCUAGAUUAGCUCUCGAUAUGCAUUGGUCACCCGCCCAUGGAUUGCGCAAUCCCUUAGGUCAUGUUCAGGCUCAUGUUGGACGUGUCGAGUAUGCCUAUAGAUGCUGCUCACACGGUUUUCAGGAUGGUUUCAUAGUUUGAUCCACCAUGAGGCUAUCUACCAUAGCUAGGGGUGGUUGUUGUCAAGAUGAUGCCUACAACCUGUGAGUAAUGCAUGGGUCGAACCAUGUAGUUCGAUUGGGUCUUCUAGGGGCGUGUUUCACGGUAAUCUUCUAUAUAUGUCCCGAAAGCAAGGAUGGUGGCUAUCUCGGUAAACCACUAGCGCUUGUAGAGGUGAUGAUCCGAGACUUCCUUUGCUUCUUCCAAGAGAAAUAAUUGAUCAUCCAGAAAGAGCUCAUUUAUCUCUGCUUCAGCGAAUCGACCCAGAGAAGGCCCUUCAAGGUGCGAUAGGUGGUUAGCUGCAACGUUCUCUGAUCUCGCCUUGCCCUUAAUAGUCAUGUCAAACUCUUGAAGGAGUAGCACCUAGUGAAUCAAUCUCAAGUUCCCAUCCUGUUUAGCUAUAAGAUACUUAAGAGCAAAAUGGUCGCCGGAAUCUGGGCAGAGGUCGCCAGCGGUAACGGCCUCACUAGAGAAGAAGGGUGACCUCCCCACAAUCAUGAGGAGUUCAGUGACCAGAUCUGCAAAGUCUGAAAGAUAAGUUGCUGUUGUGCAUUUGAAUAUUCUAAAGUCUAGCUUCCGUAGCUCUGAAGUUUUGGAUGGUUUACAGUUAUGGACCUUGGUCAGAUUUUUUAUCAUUUGGAAGUUCUAGAUCAGUUAGUGUAAUGGAGGUCAUUAGAGGACUAGAGUAACAUUUAUGUCCUUAAAAUUUUCAGAUUAUUGCAAAUAAGUAAAUGGAGAAGAACUCGGUCGUUUGAGCUCCAAAUGACGCACGGUUAGAACUUACGGAUUUAUGGCAACGAGAGAAAUCAUGCCAAGUUAGGAUCAAAGGUGUCAGAUCUUCUUAACAGGUGGGGGUUUAGGAUUACAUUCUGCUUAUAAGCUUAGAACUAUAAUAGGAUGUUAGGGAAUCCGAUUAUUGGAUUCUUCAUGUGAUUCAGAGCAAGGGCUCUCAGGAUUGUACAAUAGCGUGUGAUCUACUGUAUAAAUGUUGUGAUGUGAUUCGGAGCAAGUGCUCUCGGACUAUAUAGUAGCGCAUAAUCUACUCUAUAGAUGUUGUGAUGUGCUUUGGAGUGUGGGCUCUUAGGCUGUACAAUAGCGUGUGAUCUACAGUAGAGGCAAUUAUUAUAAUUCGAGCAUAAGCUCUUGGCGUUUGGACUGUGGCAUGUGAUUCACAGUUCAUGUUAGGAUAGGAUAGGCCUAGAUAGACUAGGUCACAAUUAUGAUACGUCGGGCACCCACCCAUGGAUUGCACAAUCCCCCAUGUUAUAAUCGGGCUCAGGCAGGACGUGUUGAGUAUGCAUACUGAUGCUGCUCAUACGGUAUUCAGAGUGGUUUUAUGGUCUGAUCUACCGUGAGGUCAUCCACAUAGCUAGGGGUGGCUGAUGUUAUGUUGAUGCCUACUGGACCAGAUGGUCACAUUACUAGAGUAGUGACUACAUAGAAUUCCAUGUUCUAUUCUUAGUACAGGUCAGUUUCAAUCUCAGUUCUACGCGAGUCCAGAUAGCCACUUAGUGUUUAUCACUAACUCUAUUAGAUAUUAUUUUCUCUGGUGUAUAUGUGUGUUCGGUCACAAGAACUGGAGCUGAUGGUGGGGAGAGAGCUAGUCGGAGUUUUGAUAUCACAUGAUAUAUGUUUUGAUGUAUUUUCAGUACUAGAGUUGCAUCUCCUUUUAUCAUGUUGUGAUUUGGGAUCCGAGAUCCUUGUUGGUCAAUUUUAUCAAAGUAUUUCGGUUCAACUUUUAAUGCUUGUUUUUGCUCAUUUAUUAGUAGUAGAGAGUAGAGGUUGGUUCAGCUUGGAACCCGAUAAGAUUUCUUGAUUGAACCAGUGGUUCGACCAAAACUCUUAGGGUGGGGUUUCAGAGAAAAUGUGAUAGUGAAAUAUACAUUUCCCAAAAAAAUUCAUCUUCCCACCGAUAAGUUUUGGCUAUUUUCGUAUUUUCAUAAUUACCUUUAUUUUAGAUUGUAUGAUUCAAUUCAUUACCAAUUGUCAGAUUAUGUUGUGACAUCAUCAUUUCUAUCAAACGAACAACAUUGGCUCCAUUUAUAGGAUUUUAUCUAUUGCAUAUAAGACUAUUGGAUCCAUUUUGAUUUGUAAAAGUGGGUCCUACUUCCAUCUCAUUUUGUUUUGAAAUUUUGCAUACUUCACUUUGAAAGGCUUCUCAUUAAUGCAAUUCAAAAACAUUUGCAAAAGUGGACUUACAUGAAUAAAAUGAUCAUUUCUUAUAUAUUAUUUUAUUAGCAAAUAAUGAUAUGAGAAGGCCCAAUCCAUUGGGUCUUGAUCAGAAUGGCACAACCUAUUAAAAAUACCUAUUUUGGCAUAACAUAAUUAUAAUUUUACAAAAUAAAAUAUUUAAUUGACUUUUUAAAACUCAAUACAAAAAACUAAAAAAAUAUCAAAGUUCAUCAUAUUCUUCUCCCACCACCAUCCUAUCUCCACUAUCUUCUUAUCAUCCCCAUCAUCCAUUGCUAAACCCAACAAUUACUUUCUCUAAAUCUAUCACUUACCAAAUCCAAAAUCAUAUUCAUUUGUACACACAACCAAGUAUGCAAAUUUUAGAUAUGAUUUGUGUUGGUUUUUUAGAUCUGAUUUUGUCGAUCUCGAAGGUGAAGAUGAUUGACGACGGGGAAGGGGACUCUAAUACCCAAAUAUGCUACUGGAGAAUAAUCCAUCUUUCCAGACUAUUGCAAUUCAUACCGCUCCUUGAAUACUUACAGAGAAAGACGGCGCAUCGAGCUCAAAAGGAGAGGGUAGCGAGCAAUCGAAGGAGAGUAGAAAAAGCCGUUGCAAGCAAAAGAGAAAUCGACCACCAGAUCUCCUAGGAUUCCUCAUCUGAGGAAGCCAUCAAGAGAUUUUUUCCUAUAAGUCAGUUCAGCUACUAAAGCUACAAGUGGUGAUGAUGAAUAAGCUUCCAUAAGUGGUUCGCUGGGUAUCUCUACUUUGACCUCCUUCAUGGGAGCUCCGUCGUCGCCGCUGGCGACCCUAAAAAAGAACAUGCAUUUAAACGCGUUUACACACUAAACUAAAAAGGAGAAUGAAAGACUAUAAUUGGAAUUUCAACAACAAGAGAAAGUUAACUUCUUUUUUCUAAUCCACCGUCGGGAGGAGCAGCAGCAAGCUUCGCCCGUCUUCUUCCCUUUUGGGAUUUUUUUGAAUUAAUUAAGAAUUUUAUUAAUUAGAAGUUUAAAAUUAUAUGAUGUGGAGCCUAUAUUGAAGUCAAGUGGGAGGUACGUCAGGGGUGUUAAGUUUGACUGUUAAGUUGAUGGUCAAAUUUCAAAUAUGUGCCACAAUAAGUAUUUCUAAUAGGUUAUGCCAUUCUGGGUUUAGACCCAAUAGGUUGGGCCUCCUUAGAUCAUUAUUCAUUUUAUUAACUACAUAUAUGUUAUAAAAAUGUAUAAGUGACAAGUGGGUCUCAAAUGAUUAAAAAAUAUAAAUGAAAAAAUGGGCCACAAGUGAGAUUAUCACUUUGACUUGGAACGAGUACAAAUUUGCACUUAAAAUGAUCCUUUCCCAUCAAUAAUAUUCUCAUUUAAAUUUAAAAAUUGCCACAUAGGCUCCAUGUUACUUAACAAGUAGGGAAAAUCUCAGUGAUAAGAUGCUAUAAUAACAAAUAAUCUUGAGGCCAAAUCCAAUAACUGAGCAUGCCUUCUACAUGUCGGACUCCACCAUAUAAACACGGCCCACGUUAUAAUUGAUUCAUUAAAAAAAAGAAACAAUUUGAUGAAUUGAUGAAAGAAGCGAAAGGCAAAAGAUGGAAAUUGUCGUUUCUCUUCCUAAAACUAGGGUUUUGUUUCUCUCACUAAAAUUAGGGUAUCUCUUCGUCAUGAAGACUUCCUACACCCCCAUCGCCAUCAUGCUCAAGCACAAACCUACUCCUAUCAUCAACAAACCCAUCCCACCUACCGAUGUUGUCAUCAAAACAAGACCGACCCUUACUGCACCCAUGGCCUCCCUAUCGUUGAAGGAGAGUCAUGGCUCGGAGGACCUGACCGGAAUGACAUGGCUGACGAUUGGAUACCAGAGCUGCAGCAAUCUGGAAAGCCCCACAAAGAUUCUCCGCCGACAAAGACCAGCAGGUCAACACUAAGGAGAGGCGGUGUUCCUCCGAUCUUCGAGCUACAGGGGAGCGAGACGACUCUACCCCAUACACCAUAGUGACAUCGCCGGUGUGGACAUCCGAUCAUUCCAUUCAAAGCUCAUGAAGAUCGGCUACACUUGUGUUUGGCUUUCUUUAUUUUUGUUUAGUACUCUCUUUUUAGACAUUUGGUUGAUUUUCAGUCGUACGUUGCACUUCAUUUGUUUCCUUCCUUGAGUCGGGGUAUAGUUUUGUUAAUUUUUUUGUUUAUUUCGUUGCAUCUAAAACCGUUGAUGGUCGAAGAGAUUAAAACUGUAAAUAAAAUAUUCAAUUACCUACUUUCCCCUUACAUCUUUUCUAAAAAACAACUCUCAAUUGCAUUUCUCAUGGUCAAUGUUAUAUCACGCCUCCCUCUAUAAAGAAAUUAUAUUUUGUAAAAAAAAAAAGCGAAAGGCAAAAGAUAUCGCGAGACCUAGUUCUAUAUAAACCCAUUCCAUUCGCAGGUUACGAGCGGCCGUCAUCGCUGUCACAGGGCCAGAUAUGGGAAGCGCUAAAGCUGGCAAACCCUCAAAGAAGUCUCUCAGAAACCCUAAUCCGCUUCGCAUUACCCAUAGGAAGAUUACGAAGCACAAACGGCAAGACAUUGCUGUUGAUACAGUUCCCACCGCCCUGAAGUAGAAACACAACCUCAUAUCGGAGAAGAGGAGCCCCUUCCUUCAGCUUCCCAGCAACUCAGCUUUUUCCUCAGCAAGUUCCAGUCAGCUAAUGGUCUUCAAGGUUAGUCUCUACCGCUGGAGCUCCACAAUAUUGUAUCCCAUGACAUCUCUAUUUGGUUGCUGGACAGAGGGAUUAUUAACAAUUUGUGUAUUGUAUUUGCAGAAACAUCCUUUAUUCAGUUAUUUUGAGAGCUGCCUCAGGAUGUUGAGGGCCUAGGCCAGCAUUUGAAGACUGCUUUCGGAAAGUCAUGGAAAGAAGAACGCUGUGAUCGAAAGCUCGUGGAUAGGUAAACUGAACCAGAGAGUCCUGCUGCUCUUUUCAUUUCUACAUCUGCAUUGAGAGCAAUAGAACUUUUAAGGUAUAGAUUCUCUCAGUUCUUGUUAAUGAUCUUUGUUUUGCUCGAUUUAAUCAGGGUUUGGGCUUGAUUCAAUCUUCUUCUUUUAGGGGUGUGCGUUCACUGAGCGUUCACUGACGAAAGAAUGCCAUGCUGCAAAGCUCUUCUCUAAGCACAUGAAGGUUGAAGAACAUGUGAUAUCCUUUCCCUUUUGUCACUUGUUGUUCCUAUUACAUCGUUAAACAAAAUACUAUCUCUUUAUGUUUCGAGGUGUUGUCAUUUGUUUUGGAUAUCAUUCAGUUCCUUUUAUUAUUACUGCUGCUCGAGUUACGAACAUCUGAGGAAAUAGCAAUGCUUAGGAUGUUAUUGUCCACUUCACUGUCUCGAGACACCGACAUUGUCUUUAGUUAUUAUUUAUGGGUCCAACAAGUUAUGACUUGAACCAUGGUCACAUGGAACAAAAUUAAUUUAUAAAUUCGGACUUCUGUUUCAUCAGUGACAUUUUCACUCUUCGUCAUCAUAUACAUUUGGUGUUUGUUUGUUUUUGGUAAAAGGAUUUGAUAUUACCAGUUAUAAAGAUCAAAGGGCAGUAGCAGUGCAGGAUAAGCUUUUUUCACAUCAGUCUGCUUCUAGUUCAGUAUCUUAGUUUCAAUGAUUUAUGGCUGGAAGCAUGGAGCAGUAUGGAAUUUUUGCAAACAAUUGUUGGAUUAGGAAUUUCAUACUUCUUUUCACUGCAUUUUGAUGUUGGGAUAUGAUGAGUUACACGGAUCAAAUGCUCUAGCAGUGCUGAAUAUGUUUUUUGCACGUCAGUCUGAUCCCAACUUACCGUAUUUUUACUGCCCCUACCUUUAAAUGCAUGUCCGAGUUCUAACAAUAGAUGACUUGAGACAUGGAGCCUAUGAAUGGGGGUUCUCUGUUUGAUUUUAUGACAUUUUACAAUAAUUGUCACAAAUUUUUUUGACAUUGGAUAUGAUGAUGAGUUAGAAUCAAAGGCACUAGAGAUGCUGAAUAUGAUUUUUUGCACGUCAGUCUGAUCCCAGCCUUUCGAUUUCUGAUUACUGGAAUUUAAAAUUUUACUUUGUUUUCGUCAUUUUGACAUUGGGAUAUGAUGAUGAGAUGUAGAUCAAAGGCAUUAGCGGUGCUGAAUGUUUAUUUUGCACGUCAGUCUGAUCCCAGCUCACUGUUCCGAGAUUGUGCUGCCUUCUUGCAUUUCCUAGUUAAAAAAAUGUACUCCUUGGACAUGGAUCUAAACGAACUUCAAAAUAUGAAUGAUUAAGAUUUCGUGAUCAGUGUCAUUCAUAGUUUAUGAUCACUAAUUUAAAUCUCGUGGCAUAUCUUGCAGGGUGUUUAUAGCCAAUUAGAUGCCACACUCACUGAAAGCUUAACUUACGAUUUAGGUUCUGGUUGUGUAUCCCCCCCCCUGUCCACCGCCUUUAACCUUGUACUUCUAAGCAAUUGAUUGUAUUUCCUGAAUAAUGGCUACAUAUUUCGUAAUUGUUCAUGCUCUGCUGAUUAUAUUUUUGCACGUCUCUGUUCCUAAUAAAACUGCACACUAUUUUACGAAAAAAGACGUGCACGCUAAUAUCGUACACCAAUGUAAUAUAACACUAUUAACAACAAAAAGUUCUUAGUACGGGUUCAAUGUCAUCAUGCAACAUCCAUGAUGCCGUUCCUUAGUCUCUCUACGUGACUCUGUGUUGCAUUUGGUAAACUAUUUCUUAAACUUCUGGCUCCGUUUACUGCAGGUCACUUUCUUCAAGAAUCGUGUCAAUAUUGCCAGCGGCACACCAAACAGGUUAGUCACCAGUCAUUUCAUCUCGAUAUUGAUGUUACAAUGGGUCGUUUGGAUGAGGUAUUUGAAAGUGGUAUUUUGGCUCAAGUAACUCAAACUAAAGUUAUAACUGAGUUAUUUGGGCCAAAACACUUCGUUUUCCAUCCGAAAUAAAAGUCGUUAUAUUUCAUAACUGUGAUAUUUGAAAUAAUUAUGGAUGUGAUAUUUGAAAUAACUCAAUUUAAAACCAUAACUCAAAAUGAUAGCUAAACGAAUAAUUCUUAUCCCCCAAAUUCUUACAACUGAUCCAAACGAUUAAUGUUUACUUGCUCAUCCUUUUCGUUCUAGCUGAAUAUUUGCAUUUCCGAAAUAAUGCGCCCCACAUGAGUUCGGUAUACAUUGGUGAUUGCUUUUGCAAGUUUUCCGUGCAUGAAUUGUUGUGGUAUUCAUCAGAAAAUUACCAAUAGGAAAUAGUUAAGAGGUCGUAGAAAAUGCAUCGGGAGUGUCAUUUUAUAUUGUAGGGGCAAAAAUUGAUUUUGAUGAAUUUGAACUUUCUUGACUAGAUUCUUGAUAAAAAAAACUAUCUUGACUAGGUUGAAGAAGUUGAUAGAUAUAAAAGCAAUGGGGCUCUCGCGGUUUUAAAGUUAUCGUGCUAGAUGUCCACCAUGAUGUAAAGGGUUAUUCCUUGCUCACACUUCCACAAGGGGGAGAUAUAGAGAGAAUGUCCGGUCUCUUUUCAACACAGCGAGGAGCAUAGUCGAUUUUGUCAUGUGAAGAGUUGCUGUUGUACAAGUGUUAGUUUGUUAUUUUGACAGGACACUUUUUCAAUUAUUCAAAACUUAUAUUCUAGCUAAGCUAAGGGUAAAUAUCCAUUUUGUAAUUUCACUUGUUGCUGCUUCUACCAAGAGACAGCACACAAGGAAUUAUACUCAUCGGCUUCCUGGCCGCAAUUGAGUUAAAUCUUCUUUUCGGCCCCUAGCGUUUAAAAUAAAAUAAAUCUUUCACCGGCUACCUUCAAAAUCCUCUGUUUAUCUUUCCUUUGAUCUUAUCAAAUUUUUAUAGUGACAAAGUUUGUGAAAUUACUUAAUAAAAAAAAGAAAAAAUUAUUAAACAAUUGCUAAUAUUUAGGCCCGACAUUCGAUAUAGCACAUGUUUUUUAUAAUAUUUUUUUUUGCCCAAAUUUCAAAUUAUGUUAAUUCCUUUAAGUUAAAAUUAACGGAUUGGUGACAAAUGCUGACAAGGCAAACAAUGUGUCUGAUGUGGAUGGAUGAAAAGAAGUCAAUCGGAAAUAAAUACACAGUCAACAUACAGUUAAAAAAUUUUAUAACAAAAACCACCCACAUUCCUUAUCCUCUUCGUCGACCAGCCUUUUAUCACCCACCUGUCACCUCCCUUCUAAAUUAAUUUUCAUCAGAUGGGGAGAAAGAGUGGAAGAAGAAGAAGAAGAAAGAAAGAUGGAGCAAGGUGCAUUUGAUUUGAAUCCCGACAAUGUCGACAACAAUCUUGUAUCUAAAUUCUUUGUCGAUUUGAAUUUCGAUGAUGCCAACAACAACCUCAUUCUUGAACUCUCCGUCGAUUUGAAUCCCGACGAUCCCAUCAACAACACCAUUCCUGAACUCUUCGACAAUUUGAAUCCCGACGAUGCUGAUAACAACCUCAUACCUGAAUUCUCCGUUGAUUGAAUCUCAAUGAUGCCAACAACGACUCUCUAUCGUUGUCGAUGAAAUGCCCAAGCUUGUGGAGAGAUGGAUACAGGGAGUAGUAGCAGGUACAUGUCCAAAUAUGGAUGUUGAGAAAUCCUCCUCGGCUGUCGAUUUCGAAUGGUCCCCACGUUUCAAAUUGAUUUUAGUGUUCUUGCUGGGAGUAGGUUUGCACGCGGCUGAGAUUGGGUUUAUCUGUUUGUUGCAAAUGAAUGAAUUGAAUUGGUUGGUUUUUUAUUGGGGGUGGGUUUUGCAAGCAAGUUGAGUUGUUUGAUUGGUUUGAAGUUUUUUUUGUCUUGAUUGGGUUUUGUAAAAAAUGCUAGCAGAAUACUGACAAUGGAGGAGAAGGUGGAGGAAGGAAAAAGAAGGUGGAGGAGAUGAAUGAUUUUUUUGGUAGCUGAGUUAUUAUUAUUUAAUGAAAGGAGGUAAAUAAAAUUUACCUAACUAAGCUGACGUGACCAGUGAUUGUUAUGUGGCGUCGGACAUGGUAUCUUGAUGAUUUUCUUCUUACGGCGUUUCGUGUUUGGUUAACUAUAACGGUCAACGACAAAGUCAACUGAUUUUCGUUAGUGUGAUUUGAAUUUUGUCAGAAAAAAAUGUAUUUCGGAAAACAUGUGCCAGAUCAUUUGUCGGGUUAAAACAUUGCCAAUUGUGUUAGCUAAUUUUUCCUAAAAUAAGUUAGUGACAUUUUAUCAAGUCGAUCUACACUACAGGAAACUAGAUGUUUAACAACAUCAUUUUUUCUUGUUGACGACAACCAUUUCCUGUUGUUAUGUAUCAUAACGGCGGCUUUGAUUGCGCUAUUAAGAUUGCCAAUGCAAAGAGAUCCUACCAGCGAAAUAUUGGCCGCGGUUAAGUGGGGAAGCGUAACAGCGAAUAGCUGGCCGCUGUUAGGUUGCAUCCUAAUAGCGAAAUAUGACCGAUGUUAGACGAAAUUCUAAUAGUGGCAUUGUGUCCGUUGUAAGGAUUUCGCCUAACAGCAACUACAUAUCCUCAUAGUUUUCUUAUUAUUUUAUUUUUUUCGUUUGGCUAUUUUCCAUAUAUAUCCAACUUGUUCAAGUAAUUUUUUCGAUAGGUAGAUAGAAAUACAAAUUUGGGAAACACUUUGCUAAAUAUAAAACUAGUCAUUUUGAUUAAAUAUUUGAUUGUUAGGACACAUACUAAUUCCUUGGCUUAAACUACACCAUCCUUCUAAAGUAACUACUUGAUUCAUAGUUGUUCAUCCAACAUGUACAAUCCACUAAACAUAGACUACUCCUCUUGGUCGUAAUCAAGCUCAUCGUCCCUCUCAUUUGUUUCCAUCAUAGUGCUCGUUCACAUUUGUUUGCAUCAAAUGGCUGCCAUCAUACAUUUGGAUUUAGAACAUCUGCCUCAUCUCCUCCAAAUCAUGAGAUAAGCCAACUUGAGAGUUGGCAAGAUGAGCUAUACACCUACAAUACACCAAAUAAAAGUUAGUUUUUUUAUCCAAAAAAAUUUGCAUGACCAAUUCGAAUUCACGGUUUAACUUAUACUCUUUGAUCUACAAAAUGAACAAACGAUACUAGAUUUGGAAGGACAAGUUUCGACAGCUACAAUGAAUCAAGGAAACCUUUUACAUCUACAUUAUCAAAACAUAAUUGCAGAAUUAAAAGUAUAAACCAUGAGUAAGGUUGAAUGAUAAAAUUUUCACUAUUUAGAGGUGUCGGUUAAAAUGUGCAAAUUGGAUAAUAAAUUUGCAUGGGAAGGAUGAUUAUGUAGAUUACGUAAUAAACUAACAAAUACAUAUAUACUUAUGAUUUGAAUGGGACUUGUAAGUUAAAAUUGGAGGCGCCCCUCUUAAUUUGUACCUAUUGUAUGUUCACUAACCACCCAUAAUAAAAACAAGCAAGAAAAAUUGGAUUUGGUGGAUCACUCGAUGAAGAAACAAGAUUCGAAACUAGCCCUCAUAACUUGAUUAGGUGAAGUUUCUACCUAUAACAGUCCAACUUAGUGGUAGAAUUAAUUUAGGAUUAAUGCUGAAAAAUACAAAUACUUAUUCAUUUUGCUUUCACUCUAAAUCCUAAAUGGCGCACCACUGUUCCUGACUUCUCUUUUUUGUUCUUCGAACGUAUACGAUAUGCCCUCGCCAUAGCAUCCUCCUUGCUAACCCCAUGUUAGUAUUUGGUUCCUUCAUAAACUGUUUGACUUCAACCUAUAUUCAAUCUCAAAAUCUUAAAUAUAUUAGAAUUGCAUCUUAUCAACAAAAGGUCAAAACACAAUAAAAUUAUAUGCAACUUACAUAAAAGUCUCAAGUAACAUAUGUUUCAUCUUCUCUUUCAUAACACUUGAAAAAGAACUCAGAUCUUCUUACUUCUUUUCCUUUCGCUUUCUUCUACAUUAUACGUUCUACAAUCAAUACAAAUUAACUUCUCAUGACUUUUGGAACAUAAUAUAAAGACGAUUGAUGAGAUGCUUACUUACCAUCUCUUCACGAAUUAUAUUGAAAGGUUUUGACCCUUUCGUAUGAUAGAUGUCUUGAUUAGAACGAUACCUUGUUUCUUUGCAGAUGCAGUCUAUAAAACUGCUAGUAAUUGACAAAUGACAAUAAUAAAUAUCAUUAUAUCAAAUAUAAGUACAAAUGUAAAACUUACUAGAGUUGGCUUCCCCUCCUAUAUCUGCAAAACAUAUCCCACUCACGUUCAUCAAUAUUUGGUGGUUUCCUGUCUAAGUUGAGCUGAAGACCUUGAGUAGCAUCGAUAUUUGGUGGUUUCCUAUCACGUUCAUCGAUACUAAUCAAUUUUCUUUGGAUAUGACUAAUGUAAUGAAGAAGAUAGAAGAGAUUAAAUCUAAAACCCUUAUGAUUACCCUGCAUUCAUAAAGACUGCAAUGCAAUAUGUACAGAGAGGCGUGGACACAUAGCAAAGUCCUUACAAUUUUGACAAUUACCAUCCAAUACAAUUUUGUAAGCUACAGCUAACAUUCAUGAGCUAAUAAGUUUUGUCAGGUCGGUUACGAAAGAAAACACACUUAACUUCAUAAACAAUAAUAAAUUAUGAAAACCCCCAAAUCAAAGUUAGGGCUCAUCUAAAUCAUUAACAAAUCAUACAAACUGAUUUCAAUCUCAAAAUUAAACUUAGACCCAGCACUAUAAAUAAGAUGUCUAACCUAAAGCUAGAACAAAACACUUCCAAUUCACUAAACGGAAAACAUUUCAAAGAUCUAGAUUUUACUAACCUUUCAAUUUUCUUGCUAACACAAGAUGACUGAUUGAGAUGAUGGACAGGAACCAAAAUGAGCCGCAGCUGGAAGGCCGGAGCAAGCGACGCCGGCACGAAGAAGAAAAACGCCAGCGAACGGCCGUUGGUGAAGAUACUAUCUGGCUGUGUCCUUUGUUCAAUUUGGGGAAAGUUGGGUUUUUACGUGGUGUUGGGGGGUUAUAUGUAUUUGGAGUUUCGUUUAUAUUAAUAUAAUGAAGAAUUAAGUCUCAUUUUGUUUGGGGCUUUAAAUUAAUAACCCAACGUCGGCUUGAUUCUCUACAUAGCCGCUGAUAGGAUUACUCUUAGCAGCUGCCAUCUAAAUAAGAGCCACUGUUAAGUUGUUGUAUUCCAUCAUAUUUUUUAAUUAUUAUCCUAACAUCGGCCAAUAUUAAUCAGGGCCGAUGUUAGGUAGUAAUAACGUAUCAGUAGCCUUCCAUUUAUUGUUAGGAUAUUGACCUAACAUUGAGACCAUGUCCGUUGUUAAAUUUUGUAUGUUAAAAUAUCCUAACUGCAGGUCUAUGUGGCUACAGUUAAAUUGGCAAUAUUAGGUAGUCAGUUUCUUGUAAUGCUACCUUGUUUAUCAUAGAAAAUUUGUUAUGACAAACGUGAUUGUUGUUGUUACAUAACAACACUCUAAUUUUCCAUCUAUUUUUAAUUUUAAAAAUUUGACAGUCUUAAUUUGUUGAAUAUUUUUAAUCUUUUUUACAUUUUUAUCUCUCAUAAAUAUGUCCUAAUUUUUAGUUAAAGAAUCCUCAUUCAAUUUCUAUUUCUAUUUCUAUUUUUUUACCUAUAUUUAAUUAAGUUAAUAACUUAAUAUUUCCUUAAUUGCUUUUUACAGGUUGUCAACGGAGUUCUGGUACUCCCAACAAGUGAGAAGAACGAUCAGAUUAGUAACAGAGCACAAACAAAGGUACAAAAUAAAUUACCAUAUCACAGUCUCAGGUAUAUAACUCCAUACAAUAGCACAUUCAUGGGUACAUAACUAGACAAAAAUUAAUCAAAAAUUGAUACUUCAAUACACGAGGUAUAAAAUGCAGUACCAUAUCACAAACCCCUUUUUUUUUUUUUUUUUUUUUUUUUUUUUUUUUUUUUUUUUUUUUUUUUUUUUUUUUUUUUUUUUUUUUUUUUUUUUUUUUUUUUUUUUUUUUUUUUUUUUUUUUUUUUUUUUUUUUUUUUUUUUUUUUUUUUUUUUUUUUUUUUUUUUUUUUUUUUUUUUUUUUUUUUUUUUUUUUUUUUAUUUUUUUUCUUUUUUUUUUAUUGUCUGUUUUUUUCUUUUAUCCUGUUUUUCUUCCUUUUCAAGAUCUUGAAAAGAGAGAGAAAAUGAGAGAGAGAGAAUGAGAAAGAGAAAACGAGGGAAAGAGAAUGAGAGCAAGAGAGAGAGAGAGGAGGAGAAAUUUUUGGAGUUUUUUUAUUUUUAGUGGCUUUGAUAUUGAAAAUACUAUAUAAAGAAUUUUAGAUGAAAUCAGUCAGUUGAUACAAUUAUUGUUGUUAUGUGCUAUUAUCGUAUGAUAAGCGGGUGGGGCUUUUCUUGUUUUCGUAAACAUCAAGAUUUUAUUGGUUGGGUCUAUGAUUCCAGCCUACAUGAUACUCAAAAGGGCCCUGGUUCAUCUGGAAAUGAAAAGUGCUUUAUGAACGUUUGGAUUGGUGCUUCCUUGACUCGGUUUGGUAACUUCAAUUUCUACCCACCUAUAUCGUGUUAAGUCGGAUCACCGACCUAUUUUCAUGGUUGCGACCAAGCUCAAGAAGUCAAAUCUUCCUCAUACCUUUCGCUUUAUGGCUUCAUGGUUGUCACAUGUUGAGUUUAAGCCUUUUUUUGUCGGAAUGGAAUCGGUCUUUUACCUUUAUUCAUCAGAUGUCCAUUCGAGCUACCAAACUGAAAAAAUGAAAUAAGGAAAUUUUUGGCAACAUCCAAACGAAUAGAAGGAGCUUAUCUUUAAACUUGCUGAUGUUUAAGCUCUCGCAGCUCCUCUACUCAUUCAAGACACCACAAUGGACAUUGCAAGUGACCGGAAUACUCAUUUUUUUCACGUAUCCACCUUCCGUAGGCGUGCUCGGAACCACAUUAUUAAGUGAAGGAUGACUGUGGGGUGUGUAUUCAUUAGGUUUGGGAGUCGGUUAAUUUGGUUAAUAACCAUCGGUUAAUGGUCGGGAAGCGCUUUGAUGAUUGAAAUUAAUUAACCAAAUUAACCGACCGAGCAAAAGCCACGGUUAAUCUUACCGACCGAUAACCGACCAAUCAGUUAAAUGAUCGAUUAUUAACAGACUGACUCUCGGUUAACCGUUGUAACCGGCUCUGACCAAUUUAACUCUCUUCUCAUAUUGCAACAAGAUUCUAGGCUCUGGCUCUAGAUCCGUCGUCGAUUCAAGCCUUGGAGACCAUAGCUUCUCUUCUGGAAACAAUCCGGUGCUCUACAACUUGAUCCUUCGGGACUGGAAGCUUUCCGAGACGGCGUUGUUGCGGAUCAGUAAGGAGAGGAGGAAGCUUCAAGCCUAUGGUGUUGCAGAUCGAAGAAUUGAGAGAGUGGAGGAGGAGAGGAUUGGCCGUGGCGACGAAGGAAGCAUGUGGUGUUGCAGAUCGAAGAAUCGAGAGAGUGGAGGAGGAGAGGAGCGCUUGCGGUGACUCGUCGUGGUCGUCGUCGUGACUGCCGGCGAGAUGCUGAAAUUGAAUCGCUUGGAUUGAUAGAGUUGUCGAGAUGGAUUGAUGGAGUUGUCGAGAUGGAUUGAUGGAGAUGGCUCGGAGUUAACCUAAUUUCAGAAUGAGAGGUUGUGAUGGAGUGGGAGGCUGGGAGGGGAGGGAGCGAUUCUGCGAUUGUGGUGAGCAAAGCUUGAUUUCCUAAUUGGGGACCUUGGUUUUUUUAAUUACCGGUUAACGUUGGUUAACUCGAGUUAACCAACGAUUUUACCCUGCUCCAACAAGUACUCCCAACUGUUCCCCGACCGACCCCUACCUCGGUUAAACCGACACUCUAACCGAGUCGAUCAGUUCAUCUGUUUAACCUAUUAACCGAGACUGAUGGCCCACCCUUAGUAUUCAUCCAGCUUGUUGCUGCAAUUAGUGUCGUAUUGAUAUGGUUGAGAGAGGAUAAAAUAUGCUUGAUUUCAAGUUCUCCAACUUGAAAGGUUUAGCUGUUAAAAAUGUAGAGGUCAUGACUGAGUACUGAUUUCCAGCAAGGAGAAGUUGGAUAUUUGCUUGCGAUAAAAAAGAAUUUGGACAGUCUAUCUUAGGCACAAAAUCUAACGGAUGAGAUGGCAACUUUACUUCAGGGGCCUAUUGGUCAUUUUAAAAUUUUCUUGUUUUUCAGUUUAUUUUUCCAUUCUGUUUAAUAUUGGUUCAAGUAAAAUGAUUUCUUGUAAAUUGGGUCUAUUGAGUAACGUGGGUGGGUAGACUUUAUUGCUCCCAUCGAGCUUGACGUGAUAUUUUCUUCUUCGUUUCUUUAACAUGCAUAAAUUGUAUAUAAUACGAAAGGUUGGAAAUAUAUGUGAAGCUCGAGGUUUAUUAUAUAUGUUUCGAGGUUUAUUAUAUAUGUUGAACCUUUUUGCCAAUUGGUUAUUUUUAUCAUGUAGUGCCUUAUCAAGUAAAGGGAAUGGUUGUUUUUAUCUACUGUCACUAGCCAACUUUCUUUCUCAUGUGAUCAAUUAUUUGAUCACGCAUGAAUGACUACAGUACACAAAAGAUAGAAAUAUUAUAAAAACAAAAAACAAAUAUUAAAAAAAAAUACCUAAAAAGCAGGUACAUAACAACAAAAACAAUAACCGUAAAUAUCAAGUACAUGAAAGCGGAUGCUCAAAAUAAGCACGCACACAUUAAAAACUUUGGUACAUACAAGGCAAGAAAAUCGAGAACAUAUUGGAACUCGAGUACCGGAAUUGGUACGGUAUUAAGUACAACGUGAAGAAAUAUCAAGUACAUUAAAAAGCGAGUAUAUAACAAUAGAAAUAAGUACACGAAAACAACUCAGAGAAAUGAUAAUUUGAUUGCCAAAAUUGAGUAUGAUAAAGUAAAAUGCAAGCACGUAGUACAUGAAACAAAUAUGAGUAAGAGUACAUAAAUUUUUUAGUACAAUACAAGACAAAAACUCAAAUACAUAUAAAAACUGGACACUAAAAAAAAUAAUUAAUUAUUCACAAUUUUAAAUAAUAAUAGUCACGAUUUUUAUCAUGAUUAACAGAAGCUAGUCACGAAAAUAAAUCCGUAACUAACCUAACCGAUGCUAGAUGAACUUGUCACGAAUCUGAAUAACCUGUAACUAAGUUGUCACCGAAAUUUUCCGUGACCAACUCAUCACGGAAGAAACCGUGAACAUAUGUGUUUUUGUUUUUGUUUUUUAAAUUAGUGGCACGGAGCCAUAUGCUGUGAUAAUUGAUUUAUUAAUAAAUUAAUCCCACAUCUCCGUGGCUACUAUAUCACCAGAAUUUCCAGAUUCCGGCAACCACAAUUUCCAGAAUCCGGCAAUAAGAUAGAGUUGAUAAUUGCUUUUUUAUUAGAGUAAAAUGUUCUACAUCUAUACAUUAUGAUACCCAUAUCAAAAUUCCAGAAUCCCAAAAUUGAACAUAACGUCAACGAAAGGCACCAUGCAACAAUGGUGACACUAAGGGUUACAACAACCAGCAAAACCGAAACACAGACUGGAAAUGCUACCAAGAGAAGGAUGAGACUAGAUGAUGAGAUUGAGAUUGAGAGAAGAAAAAUGAUAGUAAGAAAUUUUGUUUUCGAGAGAGAUCAAAUGAAGAUGAGAUCUACUUCUAAUUUAAUAUAAUGGAAAUGGAGAUAUGGUUGUUUAAUGGCAAAGAGAGAAGAAAGGAAUAGCCCAUUAAACGAGGAUAGAGUCUGCAUCAUUUCUUUUUUCGACCUUUUCCCACUAAAAUGCUAAUUUUAAAAUUAUAAAUAAAAGUUGGUCACGGUUCCAACAUUUACCGUGAGUAGUUGGUCGCGGUAUUCAACAAUCCAUGACUAGUUAUGGAUUUUUUUUUAUCUAUAAGUAGUUAGUCAUGGUUUUUAAAGCCGUGAUUAAUAAAUCGUGAUUAAUCGUUGAUUUUUUUUGUAGUGCGAGUAUGAGUAUUGAGUAAAACGUCAUGUACAAAAACAAGUACAUCAAAAGCGAGUACAUAAUUAUCAAAACAAGUACUAAAACGAGAGGAAAAGUACAUAAAAAGCGAGUAUAUAAUAAUAGAAACAAGUGCAGUAAAAAUCAAGUGCAUGAAAGGAAAACGAAACUCAAACUAAACACUAAUACAAAAAAAACUUUAGUACGCAAAUAAGUAAAUACAAGAAAAUUAACAUACACAAACGAAUACAUAAGAGUAUAGUGUUUAAACAAAGCGAUUAUACGGAUCAAUACGAUGUUGAGUACAAAACAACAACUUGAGGCUUUAUCCCUCAUUUUUAGAUGAUUUUGUACUAAGUUCUUAUAUGUAUUAGUUUUUAUUAAUGUAAUCCCUCGUGUACUUUGUCUUUGGAUUUAUUUUUAUGCCAUAUCUAUUUAUUUACGCAUUUGUGUAUACUUAUAUUUUUAGAACUUUAUACUCAAAUCAAUUAAUCAAACAAUAAAACUAUUUUCUCUUUACACGAACCAACAUAAUAACCCAUCACCCCAUACAGGGUUGUGAAGGAGGUGCAGUGACCAGAAUUUUCUAGUUGUUGCUUUUCUAUAGUUUGAUAAGGGUAAGCAUCUUGUUCUAGAAUAUAUGUUGUUAGGUUAUAACAAUGCAUCUAGUUGAGCAUGAUUCUUUGGUCAAGUGUUACUGGGAUUCUUUUUGUUCCACAUCAAUGCUCGGAGGUCGAAGAGGCAACGAGGGUGACGAAGAAAUCGGCAUCACCACGUGAGAGAAGAUGAAGAAGAGGUCAGAGAGUGGAGCCGGUGGAAAAGAUAUACUAGAAGAGGUACUUAAAGUUACUUGUACGACAAAACUGCCCUUAUUCAAUUGGACAACCCCUAGAUUAAAAUUUAAAAAUGAACGGACGCGAUUCGUUUGCGGCCAGCAAACACAUAAUAUCAUGGCUGCCUAUCCGGACUCGUCAUAACUGGCGUCAACAUUACGUAGUGUUGUCAAAAAUUAAAAAGGGGAAUAUAUAAUAAUAAUAAUAACAGACGUAAUCUUGUGUAUAUAAUGAUAUUAAAACGUUUUUCAAUCGACAAAGCCAAGUCUGCGGGAGGAACAGCUAAUGGACGAACAGCCUAAGCAUAAGCCGCCUUCUUCGUAUUCUUCAGAUUCUCUGAAUCUCUACCCUUUUUUUUUGUUACGCGGAUUCCCUUCCCUCGUCUGCAAACAAAAAGCUCUUCGUUGACUUUUUAGCAGGCUUUUUUAAAAAACCUUAAUUGAAAAAAUUUGUACAUGGUUGUUGCCUUUGUUGGCGUCAGCAUGACCCAAUGCUGUUGUCAUGUUCAUGAUUGCUCCAACUCACCUGGCUGCGCAUCUGCCUUCUGACCUGACCUGCCCUCCUCCUUUUUUUUAAAUUAUGUUUCCCCAAAAUUAAAUUUAAAUCGUUACAAAAUUGGUCUCUCCUUCUCCUAUAUAUAACGUGGAAGAGCUCCUGCCAAAAAAGUCAUUCAAACUCAAAGCAGAUAAAUUAUCAAAAUAAAAAAGAAAACCCCAGUGCUCUGCCUGCCGUUAAGAAAUUAGUUUAUUGGGUUUGUUGUGUUUAUGAAAGCUGUGUUCCAGAGACUGAUAUCGUCAAGCACCCAGAUUGGCUGUAGGAAGAAAGUUGCAUCUUUUCCAUUAAUCAGAAGCGCUAAUAUGUCUGAAUCCUCUGCCUUUGAUUCUCCGAGAUUGGUGACCAAGAAGGUCCUUGCUAAGCUUCAGCGUGAAGGGGAUGGUGCUUCUGUCAGGAGAAGCAUUGGAAGGUAUAAUAUAAUAUAUCAUGGAUGGAUGGAUGGAUAUACAAUUUUCUUCUUGUCAAAAUUGAAUUAACUGUUUUCGUUUCUGUGGUGAAAUUGAAUGAUUGAAUGUUGAAUUAUUUUGGUUCAGGAGUGAGCUCAGGUCUCUGGACCCUUUCCUCAUGUUGGAUGAGUUUUCAGGUCUGCUUUGCUUAAUUACUUGAAACCAAAUUCCUUGAUAUUUUCUAGAAUUAGGAUGAUGAUGGAUGAUGGAUGGUAUUUAAUUUGUUGUUGCAAAUUGCAAUGCAUGAAGUCUCAGCUCCUGCUGGAUUUCCUGAUCAUCCACACAGAGGUUUUGAGACUGUUACAUACAUGCUGGAGGUACAGACAGUACUGGAGUUAAUUAUUUAUUAUGAAUUGAAGGCUGUUUUUUGUCCUUGGUAGUCUAUUUAUUGAUGUCUGUGAAAUUCGUGGGUGGCACUGGCAGGGAUCAUUCACUCAUCAAGAUUUUUCUGGGCAUAGAGGGACUAUUCAUGCCGGGGAUGUUCAAGUAAAAUAAUUCACUCAAUUACAAUACUACGACGUUUACUUAAUUAGCUAGCUUUACUUGAUCAAAGUCAAAAACUCUUUCUUUUUUUAAAGUAAACAACAACAACAACUUGUGUGUUUUCCUGUUGGGCAGUGGAUGACAGCAGGUAGAGGGAUAGUCCAUUCAGAAAUGCCUGCAGGAGAAGGAGUCCAGAGAGGCCUUCAGCUUUGGAUAAACCUCUCUUCUCAACAUAAAAUGUAUGUUUUUAUUUCCUUUUUUGUUUGUACUUUCCAACUUCACCAUUCCAACAGUUUGUAAUAUGGAACCAACAGGAUUGAGCCAAGGUAUCAGGAACUUCUGAGGCAGGACAUCAAAAGAGCAGAGAAAGACGGGGUUGAAGUCCGAAUCAUAGCAGGGGAAUCAAUGGAAAUCGAGUCUCCAGUUUAUACAAGGACCCCAACAAUGUACCUUGAUUUCACACUGCAACCAAGGUCCCAAAUGCACCAGCCCAUUCCAGAAUUAUGGAACGCAUUCAUUUACGUCAUUGAAGGUGAGGGAGUGUUUGGGAUCCCAAACUCCUCACCAGUUGAAGCACAUCAUACACUCGUUCUAGGCCCUGGUGAAGGAAUGAGCGCCUGGAACAACUCCUCUUCCAAACCCUUGAGGUUUGUCUUGAUUGCAGGCCAGCCACUUAACCAACCAGUGGUGCAGCAUGGUCCUUUUGUCAUGAACACAGAAUCUGAAAUCCACCAAGCAAUUGAAGAUUACCACUACUCCAAAAAUGGGUUUGAAAUGGCGCAGUAUUGGAGUUCCCAAUAGGGAACAAGUAAGUGCUUGGAUCACUCAAAACCAAAUCUCCACAUUCCCUCUCAACUUUGAAGAAGAAAAGAGUAAAGAAUAAAAAUACACAUCCACAAACACUAAAGGCCACACGCAUAUGUGAGUGAUACUCAUUUGUGUUCCAUCAUGUAUUAAUUUAGCUUUUAUCCUCUUCCAACCUUUUACUAUUCCAAAUCAAAAGGUUGAUUAUUGCAUUGUCACACAAAACAAUGAUAAUAAAAAUACUCAAUUCAUAUAAUCCUUAGAAUUAAUUCUUUUCAUAACUAUAGUAGAUGUUUGAACAAGUGAGAACAAAAUAUAAGCUUAAUCUUAAUAGUAAUAUCAACGGAUAAUAGCACUGUGUGUCACUUAAUUAUUACCCAUGUCGCACAUAAACUACUUAACUUUCUACAUUGCACAUAAAGCCACUUAACUUUGCUUAUGCUUGCAACAUCCAAAUUUUCAUUCAAUUUAUGGAUAGACUGAUCGAAUUGAUGAGUUCUUAUUCGAGAUCUUCUGUAUGAAUAACCUCCAACACAUUAAAGAGAACAAUAAUUUAUAAGAACUGACAGAAUAACUUAUUACUUGUUUACAGAAAAGAAUGAUAAAAUAAAAAGGCAAGAAUAGAUUAUAAUCAUGCCUUGGACACUGCUUUCGAAAAAAUAUUUCCCGAAUUUAGAACACCAAUACAACUAAAGGUUAAUCACAAUAUUCACUCAAACUCUAGUGUAGGGCUUGAAUGUUGGAACUUGGAAACUUAUGCUAUUUUGAUUCCGAUUUUGAGAGUGAAAACAAAGUUUUCUGCCCAUAUUAAUCAACUAGGAUUUCCCUUUUUAAAGAGAACGCAUCCACUAACCAACAUCAAAUCCAGAUUCUCCUUUCUGAUGAUCAUCAAUGAUAAGCAGAUAUGGGGAAGGUGGAGUUGAGCUCCCGAUUUCUAGGAAGCCAACCAAAUACUUCUGUUAAGCAUAAGUCUUGAGUAUAUGCGGUAUGUAACUGAUCAUUACUGUUACUUCAAGUGGUUAGAUAAUGGUUACAUCAUCUUGCUGUUGUCCGUUGAUGACAUGUUGAUAGCAAGUUCUAUUGUAAAAGAAGUAAACAAGUUGAAGAAACAGUUAUCUAACAGUUUACUAUUAAGAAUAUAGGAGACGCUAAACAGAUUUUGAGUAUGUGCAUUGAUCAUGAUAGGCAAGUAGGAAAGUUUUAUCUUUCGCAAGUUGAAUAUAUCAAGAAAGUCUUGAAGAGGUUCAAAAUGCAGGAUGCAAAACUAGUAAAGAUUCCUUUGGGUGGCUAUUUCAAGCUAUUUGAGAAGGAUAUGCCUAAUAAUGAUCCAGAACGUGCCCAAAUGCACGAAACACCAUACAUUUUUGUAAUUGAUAGCUUGAUGUAUGGAAUGGUGUGCACAAUACCAGAAAUUGCACAUGUAGUGGGAGUUGUCAAUAGAUUCAUGGGAAAUCGGGGGGAAGCGAUUAAGUACUCCUGAGAUAGUUGAAGAUUACUACUAAAAGGGUCUUGGGCUUUGAGGGCAAAGUAAUGUAGUUAGAAGGAUUUGUCAUCAAGUGACCUUGAUAGAAGAAGAUGUACAACAUGGUAUAUUUUUACUCUUUGAGGUACCAUGGUUUCUUGGGCUUUUAAGUUGCACUGUCUAACACUCAAGCUAAAUAUGUUGCGGUAACGAAGGCCAGCAAAGAGAUGGUAUGGUUUUAGAAUUUCUUUGGUGAAUUGGGGAAGAAGAAAGAGGAUAGCAUAUUGUACAUUAGUCUUAUACACUUGCAAAAAAUUCAGCAUUUCAUUCAAAAUCGAAGCUCAUAUUGAGUUGAUGUAUCACUUUAUGGGUUGAUCUCUUGGAAAGGAAGAUCUUACGGCUUAUGAAGAUUCUAGGAAGUGAGAAUCCUAUGGAUAUGCCGACUAAGGUUGUAAAGUUGGAGAAGUUGACACUGUGUAUGACUUUAACUGGUUUUGUAACUGAAGUUGAAGGUCAGAUGCUGCUUGUAGUAGGAAGACGUUGAACAUGGAGAACCAAUGAGAGGAGUAUGUCUUCAGGUGGGAGAUUGUUGGGUUAUGGUGCCUAAGAAACUGAAGGCUUGGUCCAGUUAGUUUGUUUAGUUAGAUAAAAAUUAAGAUUAAUCUUGUCUAUUCUAUAUAGGAUUAGAAUUAAUAUGGUAGCUCCCUAUAAAUAAUCUAUAUUCAUAUCAUUGUAAUCUGUAUCACAACAAUAGUAGUCGAAAUCCUAACUUGGUUUGUAAAAAAAGAAAUUCUAGCGUGGUAGCGCCCUAGACAUACUCUUCUCGUGAAGAGGAACUAGGUUCUUAAUUUUUCAGUUUAUGAUUGCGUUUCAUUUUUUACAGGAACGACCAGAUCCAGCUCAGAAACUUCCUCAAGAUGGCGACGUUGAAGAAGCUCUGUCUCGCUAACGCCUAACAAUGGCUUCUCUAGACUGAUUCAGACUGUCCUCACCGCUGGAAAAGGAGAUUAGAUAGAAAUCCAUCUUUUAUUCCUCUUCAUUGUUUUUAUGACAAUUUCUUCUUUUCUUUUAUAAUAGAGAACUAUUUAUCACUUUUGUUGGACAUUUCUUGUUUGUUUCCCUCAAGAACUAAUAAUUUUGGUCAAUGGGUGACCACUGAUGAUGUUGAUUCUAUAAGCUUUAGUAUUUAGUCAAAUUCUUGAGUUUUUUUCAACUAGAAAAAAAAAGAAGAGAGGUUACAGUUUCAAUUAUUAAGUUUGAAGAAUUAAAGAAAAAAAACUAGACUACAGAUAUGAAAAGGUAAUUCUGAUAAUUUUUAUUGAUGAAUUUUUUUUUUGUAAUGAGUAAGAUAAUUUUUUAGGUUUUAUAAAUGGGUUUUUGGUUAAAAAUCUCAUUUAGAUAGAGUUUUUGAUGGGUAAUUAUGAAAUUUGACAUAAAGGGUACAUGAUUAAAAAGGUGGGAAAGGAAGAUGCGAAAAGAAGGUAAGAAGGAAUCAAUUCAUGGCAAAAAAGAAAAAUAAAUAAGAGGGAAGAAAGAAGACAUAUAUUGAUGGGAGGCGGAGGUGGGAUAGGGAGGUGAGAGAAAGAUGUAACAACAAAGAAGGGUUUAGCGAAAGGUGNNNNNNNNNNNNNNNNNNNNNNNNNNNNNNNNNNNNNNNNNNNNNNNNNNNNNNNNNNNNNNNNNNNNNNNNNNNNNNNNNNNNNNNNNNNNNNNNNNNNNNNNNNNNNNNNNNNNNNNNNNNNNNNNNNNNNNNNNNNNNNNNNNNNNNNNNNNNNNNNNNNNNNNNNNNNNNNNNNNNNNNNNNNNNNNNNNNNNNNNNNNNNNNNNNNNNNNNNNNNNNNNNNNNNNNNNNNNNNNNNNNNNNNNNNNNNNNNNNNNNNNNNNNNNNNNNNNNNNNNNNNNNNNNNNNNNNNNNNNNNNNNNNNNNNNNNNNNNNNNNNNNNNNNNNNNNNNNNNNNNNNNNNNNNNNNNNNNNNNNNNNNNNNNNNNNNNNNNNNNNNNNNNNNNNNNNNNNNNNNNNNNNNNNNNNNNNNNNNNNNNNNNNNNNNNNNNNNNNNNNNNNNNNNNNNNNNNNNNNNNNNNNNNNNNNNNNNNNNNNNNNNNNNNNNNNNNNNNNNNNNNNNNNNNNNNNNNNNNNNNNNNNNNNNNNNNNNNNNNNNNNNNNNNNNNNNNNNNNNNNNNNNNNNNNNNNNNNNNNNNNNNNNNNNNNNNNNNNNNNNNNNNNNNNNNNNNNNNNNNNNNNNNNNNNNNNNNNNNNNNNNNNNNNNNNNNNNNNNNNNNNNNNNNNNNNNNNNNNNNNNNNNNNNNNNNNNNNNNNNNNNNNNNNNNNNNNNNNNNNNNNNNNNNNNNNNNNNNNNNNNNNNNNNNNNNNNNNNNNNNNNNNNNNNNNNNNNNNNNNNNNNNNNNNNNNNNNNNNNNNNNNNNNNNNAUGGGUUUGUGGUUAAAAAUCUCAUUUAGAUAGAGUUUUUGAUGGGUAAUUAUGAAAUUUGACAUAAAGGGUACAUGAUUAAAAAGGUGGGAAAGGAAGAUGCGAAAAGAAGGUAAGAAGGAAUCAAUUCAUGGCAAAAAAGAAAAAUAAAUAAGAGGGAAGAAAGAAGACAUAUAUUGAUGGGAGGCGGAGGUGGGAUAGGGAGGUGAGAGAAAGAUGUAACAACAAAGAAGGGUUUAGCGAAAGGUGAUAUAAACAAAAUUAAUUUUGUAAGAAAAUAUUUUUUUUAAUGCCAUGUCAACUAGUUUGUAACUUUUAGUGUCCAUGUCAACAAACAAAAUUUUAUAAAGUUACCAAAAUUCAAAAUUUGUGUUACGAAAAGUAUUUCUAAUAGAUUGUGCCAUUUUCGGUAAAGGCUUAAUAGGUUGUGCAUUUAAGAAAAAAAAUAUUAUUGUGUUUCUACAAUUAACAUCAAUUAUCACCAAACCAUUAAAUACUAAAAACCAAUUAAGAUAUAGUCAUGUUACAAAAAAUGACUCUUGUUAUGAUUUUUUUGUUUAUGCAAUGAUAGGAUGAGAUUAAAAGGUUAAUUUCUUUUUCGACAAAACUUGUAAAAUAUUAUUAAACUCAAUUAGAUAUAAUAUCAUCUACAGUUGGUCAAUCAAAAAAAUUGAGGGUCUAUCCACCGAAACAAUCGUGGAGUUCCAAUGAGUCUGAUUAUACGCCAUAACAUGGGUAAGCUUGUUAACUUAUCUCCGGCCAUGACGCCAAUUACCACAAUCAAACUUUGCCAAAAGGCAACGAAUUAUGGACUAAAAUCCAUGUUCGGUAUGAUGAUCUUCCACAUGAUGCAAAGUCUCAACCAUGAUCAAGCUAUCACUUUCAAGAACCACAUUAGGAUACCUAUGUUGCAAGGCCAAUUGUUAGCAAAAUCUUGCCUCGACCGCCUCAGUUAAAGUAGGCUCAUAGCAACCCUACAAUUUCAACAUAUCCGCCAUUAAGUAAUGCCGAACGCCAUCCCAGAUAACCACCCCAAUACCCAUUCUGGAUCCUGUAAUGAUAGUUGCGUUUAAGGUAGUGAAACUGGUGAGUCAACAUGGGAUCGAAAAGGGACCUAGAAUCGUAAUCGUAAAAUCAAAUCGCAAAAUCAUAAAAUUUCACGGUUCUUCAAUAAUACUAAAUAUUCAGAAAUUCACCUUAGCAUAAAGACGUAAGUUCAUUAUCCAAUCUAAAAUUAAAAAUAAAAUCUCAAAUUCACCUUAAUAGGUUCUUCAGUUGCACUACUUUGAGCUGAUUUUCGAGUCUAGGAGACCGGAGACAAAAUCUGUGAACAAAAUUGUACAAUCUUACAACAAAAAACAAAAUACCUUCGAACAAAGAACCUAAACACCAAAAAUCCAAAACUAAUCUAACAAAAACAGAAUUAGAGAAAGGAAUGGGAUGAUGAGCAAAAUCAUGGAAUGGGAUGAUGAAGAAUCAUGGAAUCAAGGAAACAGAGAUACCUUCGAGCCGUAGGAGUGGCUGGAGCGAUGGGGACGACCAAAGAGGCUAUGACGAGGACCAUUGACUCCUGGUUCUGGUCUUCUAGACUUCUGGGGGACGACCGACGGGGGAGACGACAAGAGAGAAGACUGAGGAUCGAGCAGAGAUCGAACGAGCAAUCGACGACUUGCACAAUUUUUUUCAGAAGAUAAAUGAAUUUAAGGUUCGAUUUUUUGCCCAAAAUUGAACUCGGAUUUCCGUUUCGGUUCGAACCGAAGCAUAAAAACCAGCGGUCAGCACAGAGUAGUGGACUCGUGAAUCGUUGUAAACUCGUUCGAUUCCACGAUUUUCACGAUUUUGCGAGCGAUUUCAUGCCAUUAUAAGCCAUUUUGAUUGCGCGUGAAAUCUGACUCGACGGACCUAACAAAACUCGUAAAAUCGUCGAUUCCACUUCCUUCGUUGUGUAUGUACUGAUAUGGGGUUCCUGGUUUAGUGGUUGAACCGGGGUUGGACCGUUUUUAAACCGGGUCGGCCAUUUUAAAUAUUACAUAAAGUUAAAUCGGACCGAAAAAAUAUUGGAUUGAACGAAAUCAAACUGACAGUACAAAUAGUCAAAUUUUGAGAUUUAACCUUUGAAAAUUGAACAAUUUUAAAAAAUUUAUGUACAUUAUGAUGUUAUUCUUUUUUAAGUUUAUGUAAUAUAAUGAUAUUAUCUAUAGUUGAAGUCUUCCACACAUAUAUAUCUAGAAUGCUAAAGAAACCCUAAUGGAUCUUUCAAUCUUUCUUUAAUUGGGCUCCAACUACUCAAUACCCUCUCUCACACUUUUUUUCUCUAUAGAGAAACUCUCUCCCUUUUUCAUCAGAUUUUUUUCUCCUUGUAAUCUAAUCUUAUUUUUCUAAUAUUUUCAUUCUAUUUCUUCCCUAUUUGUCUCUUUUACUUUUUUCUUUUUGGAAGGUUAUUAGAAAAAGAGGACCACUAAAUAAUUCCGUCGACGUCCAGCAAUAGGGUUUUCCAAUUUUUUCACAGAUGGAUCCAUGUUUCCAAAGUUCUUUUGUUUUUUUUUCUGAUCUGAUAGUUGGUUCUUUAACUAGUUGAAUUAUCUGGUUUUCCGGGGAAAUCGGGUCAAUCCUCAGUUUUGUUCAUUCUCCUCAACCGCUAACUCAGUAUUGAUCAAAUGAUCGGUUCACAGUCGGACCGGCCGGGCUGAUAUGGUUUUGCUAACAUUGAUCUUAGUAGAGCCGACUAGAGGCCAUUCCAACCGAGCCACAAUGGCCUCAUACGAAAAACUCCUAGUUACCCUGAGUUCUUGAUAAUAAAUAAGAAUUGGAGUGCUUGUGCUAUGAUAUCACACUCCAAUUAGUGAAACUCAUUAAGCAUACACACAUUCCUUUCUUUCCAUCAGAAUCACAUAAGCAUUACCCAUCUUUCCAACUCCAAAUUCAAAACUUUGCGGUUGCUAAGUGAGAACCAAUCGCAUCAGUCAUUAGAAUCAUCAAAAUCAACCAGUGAUCAUGUUUAGAGUUACCUCAAAUCCGCCAAGUCCAUUGGCAAUCUCGGAAAUAGUGAAUUUGCAGGCAACCUGCAAAAUGGGCAUAUAUCACCAUGUCGAGGAUUAUGCUUAUACAUAUUAUACCUGUAGGUAAAAUUUACGAUGAAAUUUUCAUAAGAACUGCUCACCUUCGACGGAAUCUACAAUGACCAAGAACAAUUCCAAACAUCCGAGUUGCAAUUUGGAUUAAGACCCACUAAAAGAAAACCGUGUCCAUUAUUACGGAUAAAACCGGCCGUUGUCACUGAUAUUUCCAUGUCCCUGCCUCGUUGUCGCGGGAAAAUCAUCCGCGACAACGGGCGCCUUCAUAAUGAGGGGUGNNNNNNNNNNNNNNNNNNNNNNNNNNNNNNNNNNNNNNNNNNNNNNNNNNNNNNNNNNNNNNNNNNNNNNNNACGGCCGCCUUCAUAAUGAGGGUUGUGGGGACUAAACUAUCCGCGAAAAAUAGGGUUGGCGCGAACCCGUUAUGACCGGUUUGGUUCAAAUAGUUAGGUUGAAAGGCAUUUUAACAAGUUUAUCCGCAAAAACGGCAAGAGAUAUCCGCGACAAUGGCUAACAACAUUUGUUUUGCCGUCAUAACGGUUCCCCUAACGACGUUGAGUUUAUCCACGGCCAAGGUUGACAUUGUUAGUUUCUCCAUCCUACCCGUAAUGGUUGUUGUGCCAAAUACUAGGCCAUAAUAUCUGCGACAACAGCUCAAGUACUGCCUAAAAUUUUGUUAUUUUUGCUUGUUUCGUCCACUGUGGGCGCCUAAAAUAAAAGUUUAUAUAUGCACUAUUCUACACAUAACACAAUAUAUACCAAUAUCAUUAGCAUAACGAUAACACAUAUGAUCAUCCAAGAGUUAAUACUAUAACAUAAUCCAUAGAUCUACUCCAACAUAAUUCCUUGAUUUUUUACCUAACUAAAGUCAUUAGUUCACUAGACUACAUCACUAUCAACCUAGAUAUAACUACACUAGAGACUCGUCAUCCUCAUCCUCGUCAUUAUGACCAAGAUCCUUAUUAGCUCAAGUAUACAAAAGAAGAUAUAUAAAAUUGAAAUUAGGUUAAAACACAUAAAAUUAAGUAACAUGAACUUUAUAACAUAUAAAGAUUACUAAUAAUUUACCCGCCACAUCGUAGUCGUAGUUCUGUUGGAUGUGGUUAUAUUAUAUUAACCGCUACAAUCGUCGUUACGGAUCAUUAUCCGUGUCCGACGAUGACCUAACCGUGACACCCGUUAUCGCGGAUAUUAUCCCCCAUAACUAAUCUACGUCAGACAUCAAAUUUUGUUGUAGUGGCCAAGCUAUUCUUUAAAGCUAGUCAGCCAGUUUUAAUACCCCUAUUUUUUCGAAUAAACAGCUUUACUACUUGAAAUCCAAAUAAGCAUUCCGAUUCUUGAACAUCGCAAUGAAUAAUUUGCACGAUAGAAGUUGAUAUAGUUGACCAAAAACAGCUUUCAAUAAGAGCAGUAUUCUACUGAUAAGUCGUUCGAUUAACCAACUCACGAACUGUAGCAUCAACAUCAAACCUCAUCGGCGUAGAGGUCACAAAAUUACCGGGUACUAACGGAAGCCAUCCGUCUCCCCAAAUUCUAACGGACAUACAAUUUCCCACCCACCACCCAAGGCCACUCCAUACAAAACAUUGAGCACCAAAAAGGCUAUGCCAUAUAAAGCUAAACCCAACUCAGCUUUAAAGACAUAAUAGAAUUUUUAAAAUACUUAGCUUUCAUAAUUCUUACAAUAAGGGAAGAUGCUCUUGAGUGUAAGUUCCAAAGAUGUUUAGCAAGUAAAGUAAUGUUAAAGCCUAAAAAAUCACAUAAUCCCAUCCUAGCUUCGGAUUUCAAACUCAAUAGAUAUUCUUGACAAAAUGAGGGAUGAGCACUGGGUCGGGUCACCCAUCAAAACCCACCCGCCUAUAAUCACUCUCUACCACUACUACCCUUUUCCCCAUCACCAUAAAACUUUGCAUGCUUGUUUGUGUGUUUUUGUAGUUUUUUUGUGUGUUUUAUGUCGCUUUUCAUCGUUUGAGUAGAGAGAGAGAGGGAGAGAGAGAGGGAGAGAGAGAGAGGGAGAGAGAGUAUUUCAAGGGUUGCAUGUCAUACCAAUGAUUAAGAAUGCAUGAUAGAAGGUCUCGAUUCAAAUUAGGGUUCGGUCGGUGUCUGAUCGAAGGACGAAUGAUGCUUGCAUUAUUUUAUUUUUACUGAAAAAUUGGGCUUCUGGAGCAGCCUUUAGAUCAAUCUCAAGGUGUGUGGCUUUGCAUAGUGUGUGUCGUUUCCUUAAGUUUCUCUCGAUAGAAAAUCGAGUUUAUGGCGUGUGAUCCCACAUGCCAUGUGACUGAUUUUUGACAAAACGAACCGACCAAAGAACAACCAAAAACCCAACCGGCUCAAACCGUAAUGAACCAGAUUGAUUUUCAAACCGAUUUUCAACCAAAUCAAACUGAGUUUGACCAGACGCAUUGACCCUUCGUUGACCGGCCGUUGCCCCCGUUGACCGGUCACCAUGGAAGAAAAAACAUGGCAGUUUAGUAGUAUUUUGGGCAUAACAUUUUGCUCGGGAGUCUGAUUGACACAAGGUCAGUGACGUUGGAAACUUGUUCAGUUGCCUACAACUUUGAUGUCAUGAUGUGGCCUAAAUCCAUGCAGUUUGUGCUCAUUUUUCUUGGUUUGGAUUGAUGGAAUUUGAGAAAGUUUGAAUUGUGGUCUUGUUUGGUUUGAUGAUUUGGUGCGAUCGUGAUCAAUUUCUUGAUAGUAUUAUAGUGAUAUGUUCAUUGCAAAUGCUAACGUUUGGGAUGGUUGUCCAAAAUGGAUAAUUCUAGCUUUGCAAUGUGAAGAUUGCUGGAUGUUGAGACGUGAUCACUUUGUCACUCUUGUAUCGAUGGCAUGUUGUUGAUUUUCAUGAGAACUUGGAAUGGCAUCAUGAUGCUUCAAAGUGUGGUUGAACGUAGGUUGUUACUAGGCCUGAGAGUCGGUUAAUUUGGUUACUAACCAUCUGCUUAAUGUUCGGGGAAAAUGAUUUGGAGAUUAAAGUUGGUUAAUCGGUUUAACUGACCGACCAUAUGUAAUGGUUAAAAAGCCGACCAAUAACUGAUAAAUCGGUUAAAUAACCAAUUAUUAACCAACAGAUUAGUCGGUUAAUCCUAUGAACUGACUUUGAUUGAUUGACCGACUAUACCGACUUAACCUAACAAGAUCUGAAUCUCCAUGCUCAUCUCUGCCAUCGAGUGAGCCACGUUCUGCUCAUGAUAACCGUUCGUCCAAGCAUUCAUACUCUACUAAGAAAGCUUGCCAUGGCCGCCACUCUGAACACCGGUCAAAGAACUGAAUACUUGUUCCAAGAUCCGAACUUCCAGAACCGUCUCCAAUCCAUCUUCCCAAUUGUAGUUUGGACAAAGUUUCCUCAUCUGAAUUUUUACUCAAUCACACAACUACAACCUACACGACAACCAUAAUCAAUAGAGUGGAGGGGGAUAGGAUGAAACAGAGGACUGGUUGAAAUUAUAUGGGCCUAUGUUGCAUCCUCAAUAGCUCGUCGUCGCCAAGCCUCACUGAGCCGUCCCCGAGAGAGGAAGAGACGUAGAGUCUAGAGAUCGUGCUUUACUAGUGCUCAACACUCAUGGAGCCGUCACUGAGAGAGGAACAUAAUCCCUAAUGAAUCGUGAAAUCGAGAAUGAACGGGGAUAAGUGAAUAUGUUUGUGUGUGUGUGAGUUUGACCUAAAAAUGGGGGGAUUGGGAAUACGACGUAGACAUUUGGGUUCAGACUUGGGGUUCUUUUGACCGAUUAAUGUUGGUUAACACAAGUUAACUGACGGGUUUUAACCGAUUCACCGUUUAACUGAAGUCAGUUUUUCUCUUUGACCGUCCCCCAACCAACCUGUAGCUCGAUUAAACCUUCCUCUAACUUAUUCGGUCGGUUAAUCAAUUUUAAACGAUUAACCGAAACUGAAUUCCUACCCUUAGUUGUUACUAGGUGCUUUUGUUGCUCCCAAUUGAUGAUUUGUGAUUAUUUCCAUGCUCAUUUAAUUUGCUUCCAUUGCUCAUAUUUUGUCCUACCAUUACCCUUGAUGACUCAUUGGUUACUCACUGUUUUGGUAAAUGGUUCAAAGAAGCAUGAGGCAUAUUACUAGUCCAUUUGUUCCUGUAAUGAUAUAUCUUUGACCUCACCUUUUGGUAUAACUUGAAUGAUGCAUACGUUGUCACUUCAUGCUUUGCAUACACUCUUUAUGCUCGUUCUUGUUCAUUGGACUUGGUCAACAUUUGUGAGGAUUUCUUUGUGGCAAUUGAUGAUAAAUGAGUUAAGGUGGUCCCAUAGCUUUUGCUUACCCUUGUCUUACUAAUUUAUGAAUUAUAGGAUGCUCUUGUUUAGGAUUGCUAGUUAGUCUUGCUUGAGAAUAACUAGUUAUCUUCUUCAUUGGUUUUGCCUUUCUUUUACAUCUUGCCUAUGCCAUGUCUACUUAUGAGCUAUUUAUUGCCUAUCGUUGCCUAAUUCGAUUGGAUGCUUAUUGAGGUGGUUCCUUAGUGGCCGUAGGAUUAUGGGUUGACACCUCUACAUGCUUGAUGUGUAUGAUUAUUCUCCAUUUCGAAAUUUUCAAUGAUACUUUAAAGUCAAAUUUGAAUGCUCUUUACAAAUGUGUCAAUUUUGGCACAGUUUUCAAGGAUUCAUCAUUUAGUGUUUAUAAUUCAUUUUCGUUUUAAAUUUUCGUUUCCCACAUUUACUUUUCAUGUUUUGUUGCUUUUAUUGUUUUAAAUUUUAUUAUUUUUAUUUUAAUAGGCUUACUUUCCUUGUAUAUCCCCAAUUGUAACUUGGUAUCCGUAUUCUCAACUAAAUCAACAAAUGACACCAAAUAACUUAAAAUUGAGAACUAUAAGAGCUCAAAAGAAGGAGAUUUAGCAGAGUCUCUUAUAGGUUUCAAAAAAGCGAGGAAGGAUCUUCAAGUGGAGAGGACCCUUUCUCCUCCCUAACUCCAAUGGCGAACAAAACUCUAGCAUUAGACCACCUAAAGUCAGACGAUAAGCCAUGCAUUCAUCUCGUGGACUUUAUCUUCUAUUGCGACACCAUCAAGCUACACGGUGUUUCUGUUGAGGUUCACAUCGUGUUCCCCUUGAGUUUCAGCAACCAUCCACUCCAAGCACCUUAAAUCAUCCGUCUUAGUUUCUGCUUGUCCCCAAACACCGUACAUCGCAUGUACUUCGUGAUUUUUCCAUUCUUUGAGGCAUUUAGCUCCUCCUUGUACAUCAUACAGUUAUGAAUAAUGCCUCGACGUUGUUGUGUGCCUGAAAUUGAUAAAAAACACAACGCAACAACAUCAAAUGGACCCCAAACGGGUAUGAGACACUAAAUCGAGAUAGAAGUUACAAAUGCACAAAACAUCAUGUCGUGAAUGUUUCGAUCCGCGACACCGAUGGCUUGAAAUAUUUCAGAGUCGCCACCAAUCUGUUGAAGCGGAUUGGACGCUGUCGACAUAACCCAGGUCCUUUUGGACGUGAGUUAGAACAGGUCUGCGGAACAGAGAUCCUGGAUUCGAGAGGCGGUUACGUGCAGGGAAGGAUUAGCACCCCCAUAGCGCCCGUCAAACCGGUACUACUAAAUUUGAUAAGUUAUGUUUUAUUUUCUUAGUUUAGUGGUUUAAUUAUGCUUUAGUUUGGACGCAUAAGGUUAUGUAAAUUUUUUAGAGAAUAUUUUUAUUCAAUUGUAAGUCUUUAUGAGUUCCCACUCUUGUGGAAAUUUUUUUUUAUGUUGAUAAAUAUUUUGAGUUGAACAUUCUUAAUUUAAUUGUUUGGAUUUACGAAUUCCCAUUCUUGUGGAAAUUUUGUUUUACGCUGGUGAAUAUUUUUAAGUUGGUUAUUUUUAAUUUAUAUGUUUGGACUCAAGUCUUACGACUGCCUACGUACCUAAUUCUUUGGGAUCAAAGAUCAUGUAGUUCGUUAUGGAAAAGUUGAUUUGAGGAUUUUUUGUAAUUUUUACUAUUAUAAAAACCACGUUAUCAUGCUCAUUUUUUAUUUGAAAGACAUUUAUUUGGUUAUUUCAAAGUUGGAACUUUAUUUGCCCACUUAUGAUUAAAUGAUAAUUCUACAAAAUUCGAAACUCUUGUCACGGAUACGAAAUUCAUAUAACAUUGCUAUAAUAUCUUUAAAGGAUUAUUAUUAAGGAAAUUUCACAUUUUUUGCCAAUCGAAAAAUUAAUUGGUUUAUAUCAGUUAACUUAAUUUGACAUAAUUAAAAAUGCAUUACAAGACGGUUAACGAACUUACAUUUAAAUAAAUAUGUCACAAGUAUUUUUGGUGAUUUGACAAUUCUAUUGUGGUUAUGUUAAUGUUAAUUAAAAUGAUACGUUGAUUUGAAUAAUUGUAAAGUUUUGAGUUUUUAAGUUUACAACUUUAAGGUAUAAAUAUCAAAUAGGAUUAAAGAAGGUAUGACGUUUAUUCUGUUAUUCUUCCACACUUAUUUCACUUUUAUUCCACUCUUAAUAUGGCCUUAAUGAUAUAUGAAUAUAAUUGAAUCGACUAAAGGCUUGGCCUUUCUAAAUUAAUUGUGCCCAAGCUCGAGCUCGGCCCAACCGAACGAUGAGCCGAACCGGCGGGUAAGAGGAGGGCAGCCCGCGUGCCAAACUGGUCGAACCGGUUAUCCACGGUUCGAUCAGAAAACUCAAAAAGAUGAAAUUGCCCCUAGCGUUCCGUGCGCUGAAGAAGGGUGGCAGGGGAAAUUUUGUAACUUCACCUUAAACCUAAUCGGCCUUAUAAAAGGGCCUCUUAAAUCGAGAAAUGACUCAUUUGCAACUUCCCACUCUCUCUUUAUCAUCCCUCUUUCUAAACCGCCGCCCUUCUCCCCCCCCCCCCCCCCCCCCCCCCCACCCACCUUUAUCACGGAGUGUGCUGUUUUUUUCUAGUUCCUUUCUCUUCUUCUCAGCCGCCCUUUUUUGCCUCCUCUUACCUCUCAGGACCCCUCUUUCUACCUCCGUUUUUUCGAUUUUUCCAGAUUUGGACUUGCAUGUCAUCGGAGGAUACUCCGGUGAGUCCUCCGGCAAAAUGCAAGUCUCGAUCUGUAGAUCUAAUGUUUUAUUUUGGUAUUAAACAAUUUUGGUUAUUUGAGGGUGGUACCGACGGGGGUGGCGGGGAGGUAGAGAAAUGGAAAAAAGAGAAAGUUAGGUAAGUAAGAUUUCUUCCCUAUUCCUUUUGAUUAAUGUCUGGUUAAUUGCUAACGAAGCUAACUACCGGUUUCUUUGAUGACUUUUUUUAUGUCUUUGAAAAUGGGCAUAGUCGACAUGUUUUGGAAAAUGAGAGGAAAAGGAGAAGAUUGCUUUUAGGAGGUAAGACAGCUAAUUUUGAACCCAUUCUAAUUUUUCUAGGUAGAAGUAACAAUUCUAUUUGUUGAUAAGUUGCAUAAGAAACUAGGUUUGUUUUGUUACUGAAGUUGUAGUAGUAGUCUAGGUGUUUUAAAAAGUUUUGUUUGAAAAACUUUAUUUUUUUUACUAUUGUUUAAAUUUUUUUAGCAACAUUGUUUAUUCCAAAAAUCCGUAUUUUAACUCGAUUUUACUAUGAGUUUCAUAGUUCUUUAGGUCUUUGGUGCGAAAAUGAUGAAAGAUGGCUAUAGGUUUCGUUGUUAAUACUUUCCAAUAACUUUUAGUUCAUUUUUGAAGCUUAUUUGAUUGAUUUGUUGGUUGUUUAUUAAAAUGAAUCAUUUAUUUGAUUAGUUGCAACGAAUCAUUGGGUUCAAUAGUAGUUUAGAAGGUUGCUAAGUGAUAUAGCAUAACAAUGUAUAUGUAUGAAUGAUGUGUGAAUGCUUCAGAAUAGGGAUGUUUUGAAUGAUUACCUUCAUUCAAAAUUUCUCUUUUAUCGUAUUUCAGGUGGCGGCGCCUAUCGUGAGUGACGUCAAACCGAUUUGGCGGCUUCUAUGUGUAUGGCGACAAAAGAUGUUGUAAAACUUAUUUUUUUACAGUUUUGUAAUUAUUUCCCGGGACUUUGAACGAGUGAUGUUGGUGUAUUAUUUUUGGGGGUUUUGGGAAGAACUGGGGGACGAAUUUUGAAAACUGUAAGCUCCUCUUUUUGCUGAUUUUUGUCAGUCCAUUUAAAUGCAGAAAGGGCUACAGUCACUUCUUUUAACCAACCACAUCUUGCAAAGUUUUCUGACAAAAAUAAAAGGUGGCAGCUCCCCAAAUAAUAACCGUAACGGGCCCGAUAUUGGGCUUGAAAUAAGGCCUGGAAUCGGGCCCGAAAUCAAAUUGGGUCUAACACAUAAAUAGUUUCGAGAUAAGGGAUUUUGCCGAAUUUCGAGAUAGCGGACUUGAGGUCCACUCAUUUCGGCCGUUUCCGUUUAAAAAGAUCUAAAACAAAAUCGGCUUAGAACAGUCUGUAACAUAAUAAUUACAUCUCGAAAAUAUGCUAUUUGGCUACCAAGUUCUCCCCUAACGUGCACUUUGAUUAAUUUAACUGAAUAAACUUCGCAACAAGUAAAAUCUCGACGCUAAAUCCUUCCUAGAGAUGCUACGACUAUUUAGUGAAAUGACACUGGCGUGCAUUCUUCACUCGAACGAAAUUUGGUUACUACAGUUGUCCCUCUUUGUAUUACUUUCGCUUGGAAGUGGAAAGUGGUACAAAGACAGAAACCAAAUUUCGGACGAGCGCCUGAACUUCUCACGUCAAGUCCACUAGGGUCCAAGGAUCUGCCACAACAUCGGGUAGAAAACAAAAUUUGCAACCUGACCACACAAACAACAUGCAAUGCAUUUCCCUAUGGGUGUUAGGGUGAAUGUACUAGGGACUCAGCUUGACUUAUCUCCCGUUCCAUGGGUUGACUAUACUAGGGACUCAACUCGACUUAUCUCCUGUUCCAAGGUGCAAUCCGCUUUCCCCAGGAUGCUAAGGGUUGAUGUACUAGGGAUUCGACUAGACUUAUUUCCCGUUCCAACGUGCGAUCCGUUUGCCUUAGGACGCUAAGGGUUGAUGUACUAGGGAUUCAGCUUGCUUAGUUCCCGUUCCAUGACUACAAAUGUGUUGAUGAUGAAUGGUUUCGAAAGAGUUUGAGUAAGGCUCCCCCUUUUUGAAAAAAACAUGCAUCUGAUGGCAAUGCUUGAUUGAUAUUUUUCAUCAUUUUCACUCCGACGAGAUUCACUGUUUUGUUUUCUUGUCGCUUAGUUCGCACUACGUGCUAGCGCAAUGGUGUCAACCCUGCUGAUAGCUGGGUAACCUUUAAUGUAUGUGCCCAUUUUUCUUUGUUUUUCCCCCGACGUCUUCAUAUUAUUCCCAUGCCUUGGGAUUUUAAGGAUCUCUUUCCUACUUUGUCUCUACUUCUAGAUAUAAUGGUAAGAUAACGACGACCUUUGUAAAUUUCUUUCUUCGGUUAGGAAUAAGUGGAGAAAUCCUGCCAUCCGGGCUUCUUUUCUUUAACCCUUCCCUUUUACUAAUUUUUUCAUUCUUUCAACGGUUUUCAUUAUUAUUACUAUUAUUUUUCUCCCUUUUGUCUUCACUUUACCGCUAAUUUCAUUUGAAAAGACCUCCUAAUGAUUAAUUAGAGCGAAGGUGUUUGCACGAACGCAUUUGCCUCAAGUUCCUGUGGGGUGUUGUACCUCAUCCAUUUUGUUUGGUGAUGCGUGAACAAUGGUUAGGAGAGUAGUAUUUGAGAAUUCAUGAAGUAUCCAAAACUUAAAGUUGACUUAAAUUAUCACUUUAUUGAUGGAAAACCGAUCACGUAGAUCUCCGUCAGGAACUUUAAGCAUAGUACUUGUUUACUGAAUAAGAGUUAAAUAGGUAAGGGAGCUUGUCUCCGUCCAUGUUUGCCAGUAUUAAUGCCCCCCUGAGAAAGCCCUUUCCCCUACAUAGGGCCCUUCAUAGUUCGGCUUCCACAUUCCUCUUGGGUCCCCUUGUCAAAUGGAAAUCUUCUUCGUUACCAACUCUCCUUCGCGAAAUUCCCGUGUUUCACUUUUUUUUAAAAGAUCUGAUAAAUCUGCACUGAUACAGGCGUUAGUGGUGGAUAGCUGCCAACCUUUUCUCAUCAAUUUAAUUUAACUGGUCGUAUGCCGCUUUUACCUACUCAACUUGUUCUAACUUCGCCUCCAUGAUAACCCUUAGUGAAGGCAUUUCUACGUCCAUGGGAAGCACUGCCUCCAUCCCAUAGACCAAUUGGUAAGACGUCGAUCCCGUUUAGGUUCUUACUGAUGUUCAGUAACCGUGCUGGGUAAAUGGUAGAAUUACGUGCCAAUCGCGGUCGGUAACGACCAUUUUCUGUAUGCUUUUCUUGAGGUUUAUUGUUUGUCAGCUCGACCGCUCCGUUCAUCUUUGGUCGGUAUGGUACCGAGUUGUGGUGCUUAAUCUUAAACUUGUUGCAAAGCUCAUGCAUCAUCUUGUUGUUGAGAUUUUUCGCAUUGUCGAUUAUUAUUCUUUCCAGGAGCCCAUACUAGCAAAUGAUUUCCUUUUGUAUGAACUUUUUGACAACGCUCUUGGUAGUGUUUGCAUAUGACACAACCUCGACCCAUUUCGUGAAAUAGUCGAUGGCUACUAGGAUGAAACGGUGCCCAUUAGAUGCUUUUGGUUCAAUCAUGCCUAUGACCUCAUGAUGCAAAAGGCCAAGGCGAUGCCAUAAUGUGCAACGAUGAUGGAGACACGUAUUUCUCACCGGCAUAAACCUGGCACUUAUGGCAUUUUCUCACGUGUUUUACAUAGUCAGAGUUCAUCUUCGUCCAAUAGUAACCCAUCCUUAAUAUCUUCUUAGCUAGCGCAUGACCACCGACAUGUGUGCCGCAGACUCCCUCAUGGACUUCUUUUAUUGUUCUCUGAGAUUCAGGGGCAGCUACACAUCUUUGCAGCACAAAAUCAUGGCUUAGUCUGUAGAGGGUAGUCCUAUGAACAUAGUAACCCAUCUCCAAUCUCCGUAGAGUCCUUUUAUCAUUUUCAGAUGCCCUAGCUGCGUACUCCCUUUUAUGUAGGUAGGUCUUUAUGUGAUGGUGCCAGGGAUUCCUCAUGCUCUUUUUGGACUCUACCUAGGUAGGCAGGUGCAUUUUUCUUUUUGAUUUUGCUUCAUGGGUUAACCUCGGUCUCGUCCAGUUUGUACAUCGAGGACAAUGUGGCGAGAGCAUCCGCUAUUUGAUUGUCGACUCGCGAGAUGUGCUCAAACUGUAUCGACUCAAAUUUUGCGGCCAUUUCCCCUAUGUAUUUAUGGAAUGGGACAAGCUUAUGACCCCUAGUUUCCCAUUUUCCUUCAACUUGUAUAUUACUAGCGCUGAAUUACCAUAUGCCUUCAAAUUCUUAAUAACCAUUUCGAGGGCUCCUCGGAUCCUGAAAGUGCACGAUUGGCACUCUGUUAUGUUGUUGGUGCAAUCGAAGCAAAUUUUGGCAGUAAUAGGGCACACCCUCCCUUCAGAAGAGACAGAAACGACGCCGACGCCCUGUCCCAAUGAGUUUGAGGCCCCGUCAAACUUCAUCACCAAUGUUUUUUGGACGAAGCCUUCCACUAAUUUCUCAGUGUUCAGUAUAGUUUCAUCCGGAAAUUCCAUUAACAUCGGAUUCGUGUCCGAGAUUGCAUGCUCCGCUAGAUGUUCUGCCACUACACUCCCUUCAAUGGCCUUCCUUCGGAUAUAAACGAUGACGUAUUCUGCCAGCAGCACUUGCCAUUAGCCUAUCCAUCUGGAGAGGGCCAACUUUUCGUGGACAUCCUUGAUAGGGUUCAUUUUUUAUAUUAGGAGCUUCGUGUGAUAUAACAUGUACUAUCUCAGCCUUAUGGCUACCCAUACAAGUGCUCCGCAAGUUUUCUCGAGCGAUGUAUAUCGAGAUUCGUAGUCAUGAACUUCUUGCUGGUGUAAUAUAUUGGCGCGCUCUUUCCUUCCCGAUUCAACAUGUUGGGCCAACAUCGCGCUUACCAAAUUUUCAAAUACCGUGAAGUACAAUAUUAGUGACCUUCUAGAAGUUGGUGGGGCCAGAACCGGAGGGUUUAAUAAACACCCUUUGACUUUCCGAAAGGCAUGAUGACAACCUUCAUCCCACUCGACAUUCCGGUUCUUCUUUAAAAGCUUGAGAAUGGGUUCACACGUUAAGCUCAAAUGCGAUAUGAACCGACUAAUGUAGUUCAAGCGUCCUAAGAAUCCUAGCACCUCUUUAUGCAUUUAGGGAGGAGGUAUGUCAACCAUUGCCUUCACUUUGUCAGGGUCCACUUCAAUCCCCUUUUGGCUAACCACGAAACCGAGCAGCUUCUCCGAGGUGACUCCGAACGUACACUUUUCUGGGUUCAGCCAGAGCUGGUACUUCCCGAGUCGCUCGAGCAAUUUUCAUAGCACAGUUACGUAGUCGUCUUCCUUUUAUAACUUUGCUAUAAUGCCAUCCAGAUAUACCUAUAUUUCUUUGUGUAUCAUGUCAUGAAACAGUGUGACCAUGGCCCGCUGGUAAGUUGCCCUAGCGUUCUUCAGCCCAAAAGACAUAACUUUAUAGCAAAAGGUUCCCCAUAAAGUGAUGAUGGUCUUUUUUUCUCGAUCAUCCGAAACAUCCUGAUAUGGUUGUAUCUUGAGAAACUGUCCAUGAAAGAGAACAUAUUAGUUGACGGUAUUAUCAACGAGGACAUUUAUGCGAGGCAAAUGGAAGUUGUCCUUUGGGCUUGCCCUAUUUAAAUCUCUGUAGUCUACGCACAUUCUCAUUUUUCCAUUCUUCUUAGGCAUAGGGACCAUAUUAGAGAUCCAAUCGGUGUAUUACGCCACCUGUAAGAACCCGAUUUCGUAUUGUUUCUGCACUUCUUCCUUAAGUUUGAGUAUCCAUUCCGGUUUCAUCCGCCAUAACUUUUGCUUUACUGGCUUGCACUCCUCCUUUAUUGGCAAGUGAUGUGUUACUAUUGUUCAUCGAGGCCCAACAUAUCUUGAUAAGACCUUGCGAAAACGUCCUAGAAGUUCUGGAGUAGUUUGACGAGCCUGUUCUUUUCUGCUUGGUCUAAACUGUCCCCUACCUUAACCUGUCGCCGAUUGUCCUCUGUUCCCAAAUUCACGACCUCUACUGACUCGUAGAAAGGUUUCAAGGAUCGCUCUUCUUAUCCUGCCAUCCAAUCUGUUUCUAGGUUAGAACCAUCACUGGCUUCCUCGGUUUCCAUCUCAUAAACUGGGUGGUGAAAGUCAACUUUAGUGUUUCGUACCUCUUCAUUGUUUUCAAACACAUCUGUAACCCUGUUACGUGACGGGAAAUAGAAAAGGGAAAAAGAAGAAAAGCGGAAGUGAAUAAUAUAGACGAUGCACGGAUUGAGACUUAUGAAAACAUGCUUUAUCAAACAUGUGAAAAUGUGAUACAUGCAUUCAGGAUCACUUAAAAAACACUAGGAAGCCCUUGCUUAUUUUAUUUAGUAGUCAUAUUUUAGAGUUAUUACAUCUGCAAUGGCGAAAGUAACUCCAAAGCCUCCCAAUUGCUUAGCUCUUCCUUUGGACGGAGCUGCCGCACCCAUUUUAUUCCGGUCAUAAUUCCCGUACCCAGCAUGCUGAUGAAGAGAUCUGCAAAAUCCGACUGUAACUCUUUGGUGGUCGGAUCAGUGUAGUUUUUCCUCACAUUUAUCUUUCCAGCAUUCUUGCUUGUGAUGUGAGGUAUGAAAGUCAGGCCUUCAUCAUCUUCUGUCCCACUUAACCUGGACACCCUCCUCCUUAUCCGUUCCUUUUGGAUCCUCCUUAUAUCAUCAUCGUUUAGAAUGUAUCGCAAUCCCGCACGGUUCUUAUUUUCUUUGACCUGGAUGGGUUCUUUCAGCACCUCCUGCCAUUAGUAUCAUAGAUUCCAUACUCGAUAUUAAUCUAACCGAUGUCUCGAGACUAAUUAGAGUUAAUUACCAAGUGCAUUAAUAUAGUACAAUGAUUAAUCUGAAAAUUAAUUCCAAAGCGGAUCGACAUUCCGCCCCUCUCUCAAGUGUAGCGGAGACGACGAUAGACCUUGGCGUUUGGGGAUUUAGUCUCACUUUCGUAUCUAAACCAAAUCCCAACAAUAAUCUUACAACUGGAAUUCGACAAUUACAAAAUAAAGCAGUAGCUAUAUGCAAGAGAAAGACAAUAACGAAAUUAAUGAUAGUUCCGCUUAACACAAUCGAAAUUAUGUCGUAUUAACACAUAAUCAAGGUUUCAUCAAUUUCGGACAGACAGCUUAGUUACACAUGGUGAUCAAAUUAAAAACACAGAAAUCAAGAUAAUACAUGAACCUGGAGCUCCAUGCUUCAUGAACGCUCUGCCGUCGUAAAAUUCAGCAAUGUAGGCGGUCCGAACGGAAGUUCCGAAAUGGAUUUCUUCACCUUCGGAGCUCGAAAUUGCAUGCGGUUUGAAGUGGCAUGUUCCUGGGUUGAAGAAGGACGUCUUGGGGCAGAGUAGGAAGGCUUGCGGGUCUGAUAUGGUGUGUGUAUGGUGUGAUUUCGAAGUGGACAUGACUUGCCCUUAUAUAGGCUCGAAAAAUGGCGUAUUAAGGCCUCCGACAUGGGCAUACCAACUCCAUCAUCUGUAUGCAAGCUGUAGCUGUCCCUGGACUGAUGAUGGACGGAUCUACAUGUGCUGGACGUCCUCAACCAUGCCCGGUUAUCCUUCCGGCGAUCGGUUGAGCGGUGGAUUGUAAAACGGGUCGUAACUUCUUCGUUGCAAAUCUGAUUUAGCUCCGGUUUGUAUCGUUGGAUUUUUAAUUCAUCCCUUUAUAAUACGUGACCUGAAAUUUUAUUAAACACACUAGAAGAAAUAUAAAAUUGGACCAUAAAGGUCCAAGGGUUGAAUUUACGGAAUUAAGUGCAAUAUAACUGAUAUCCGUCGAAACUUUUGUUUGCAAUUGAUAUUAUGACUUGAAGUGUAGAAAGUUUAGUGCCAAAUAUUACGGUAUGUUAUGAUGUGAUCAAAAUACCCCACACUUAAACUUUUCUUGUCGUCAAGAAAACUGUAACUUAACCCACACGAAAUACCAAAGAUAGUUACCAUCAUUUAUACAAGGUUUAGGAAAUGUAAUUUUACAAUUUACGAUGCAACAGAGGUUAAAUGCUUGGCCACAUCGGUGAGAUAAAUCUCUAGUUAGAAAUUCACGAGACAGUGCACACCAGAUUAAUCAAGAUUCAAAUGCUAAAAAUAAAAGGGUUAAAUGCAUUUGUUGCAACUAUAAGAUUCAUUUUGCGCUUCCUUACGAAAUUAUGAAAUUUUAUUUCUUUUUUAAAGUUUCAAAAUUUUGAAUAACCCGUAGCCGAGCAAGACUAGUGAGUACUAUACUCAACCUUUUAACACAUUUCAUUCUUCCCACACACACCUCAAUUAAGUCCCGUAUGGGAGGCAUCUAAACUGGCUGCCUAAUUGGCAGGGCAGCUAAUGCAGAGGUGCUAGUCCUCUACCACACGCGUUAAGUUAAUCAUUGAAUUAUUGAGACAAAUUAAAGAAGCAUUUUGAUUUAAACAUUUUUUUAUGGCGAAAGUUGAAUCCAGUUUUGAAUUUGCAGAUUUAAACCAAACAUUUUAAGCAUUUGCAUCAAUUAAUCCGAGAUGUACUAAAUACAAAAAUGAAAGUCUAGUAAAAACAAGUGGUCAUUCCGCAACAACUACCAUGUCACCCAUAAUCGUUACAUUCCCAUUGUCUAUUUUAAUGUGAUCCCUAAAUUGGUAGAUGUGUAACCGCUAGUACUGUUUGUGAGGAGAUUAAAGUAAAGUACGGAUGAAAUGUUGAAAAAAAUUUAAAACACCUCUCGUUACACCAUCACCCAACACUUGAAUUAUACAUUGCCCUCAAUGGACUAUGAAUCUGGGAUAAGAGGGAAACAAGUAUACCGAGAUAUCGAGAAUGACAAUGCCAAAGUAAACUGCUCUAUAAUACCUGUCUGUCGGAUGAUAACGGUAACACAGUGAUAACAAAACAAAACAAAACUCAAAACACAUUUGGCAAAUGCCACAACUAAAAAUCAUACUAAAUCACACCACACAAUGAUGCAGAUCCAAGAUAAAUAUAUUCGAAAAUGUUAAUAUUUUGAAAUACAUCAAAAAGAAGAAGAGAAAAAUACACAUCCUAGAUCGAAAAAUCAAUCAUAACUAUCGGAUCAUAUUCAAAAUUUUGGGCAGAGUCAAGAUGAUUUUAAGGGUCUUGGAUGAUUUUAUUGAAUGAAAUAAGAAACUUGGGUUGUCUCCCGAGGACCACUUUUUUAUCGUCUUUAAGUUAGAAGUUUCCAAGAAAAUUAUUUAAUUAGCCAGGUGAAACACCUCAUGGAUGGUGAGAGAGUCGCUCGCAAGGUAGAGUUUCAACCGAUGACCAAUAACUUUAAACAUACCAUGAUCAGGGCUCGAGAUUUCAACAAUUUCGUAAGGAAGAACUUCAGUCACUGUGAAUGGGCCCAACCAAUGGGAUUUAAUUUUCAUGGAAAGAGGCGAAUCCUAGAAUUAUAUAGGACUAUGUCUCCCGGACGAAAGUGUUUUCCAGGUUUUAACCUUGCGUCAUGAAGACGCUUUGUCUGUUGCUUAUACAAAUUGCCAUUUUAAUAGGCAUGAAGAUGGAAUUCCUCCAGUUCAUGUAUGUGGAACUGAUGGCGAGGUCCAGCGACACUCAUAACAAGGUUUAGAGAUUUAAAGGCCCAUAAUGCCUUAUUCUCUAACUCAACAAGCAGAUGUCAUGCCUUUUCGUAGAAGAGACGGUAAGGGGUAGUGCCGAUAAGAGUUUUAAAAGUGAUAUGCCCAAAGUGCAUCGUCCAACUUUUUUUACCAAUCCUUGCGAGUCCAGGUGACAGUUUUCUCCAAAAUCUACUUAAGUUCUCGGUUCGUUACUUUCGCUUGACCACUAUUAUGUAGGUAGUAACCAGUGGACAGACGAUGAGUGAAACCAAAGCGGCGACACACAUGAUCAAACUGUCCCUGACAGCGGGUUCCUCGAUCGCUGAUGAUAGUGCGAGGUGCUCCAAACCGAGUGAAAAGUAGUUGCACAACUGGCUUAUAAGCUAGCCUCUUCCAUAAGAACUUUGUGGGUAAAAAAAGAGGGAGAGAUGCUUCGAAUAUCAUAGAUUUUCCAAGAAAUGGCCUUAAUAUGCUCUUUUAAAAGGGUGAUGAGACGUCCCUUUUAUUCCGGAAUGAGGGAGGCAAUGAUACUGACUAGAAGCUUCGAGUAAUCCAUCAGAAAAGCAUACUUGAGGUGCUCCGGUAGUGCUUUCAUCUUCAAUAUUGGAGGCUCCUCAUAUGAGGGUUUGACGGGCUCAAUCCUUGAGAGCUUGACAGGAGGUUCAGGAGCAGAGUCUUAGCAAUCUGCUCAAGUUGUUGUACCUCAUCAGAAGCAUCCCAAACACCAAAAUAAAAGGCACAACUCGAGAGGGUCUUAGCAAAUGCCCUCAGAUAAGAAGAAUACUGAUCCAACCUCAAUGGAGUCAGCAGGAUAGUUUCAGUCAUCCUGGACAUGGGCAUAUUUCAUCCUGUCAGCAUGGCGAAAUGUGGCCUUUCCUUGACCUACUUGAAGAGUAAGCUCGCCUUCAUGGACAUCAAUGAUGGUGCGAGCCGUAUUUAAGAAUGGGUGGCCAAGAAUGAGGGAGGCAUCUGAUUCAUUGGUGUCAAUGAUAACAAAGUCCACCGAAAAGACAUAAGGUCCCAUCUGCAUAAGUACAUCUCUCAGGAUUCCACGACAAAUUCGAGUGGACUUGUUAGCCAACAGGAUGGUCAAUUGAGUCGGUGUUGGUUCUCCUAAAUCGAGCUGUUGGGAUAUCUUGCAUGGCAUUAGAUUGAUACUUACCCCAGAGUCAGCCAAAGUCUUAUCCAUGCAGGUGUUGGUGAUAUAGUAACAUAAGGUGAAAGAAUCGUGAUCCUUAUGUUUCUUAGGUAGCUGGUUCAGAAUGGCAGCAUAACAUUCAACAUCAAGAGUAACAGACUGAAUCUCAUCCAAUUUUCUCUUAUUGGUCAGAAUCUCCUUUAGAAAUUUCGAGUACUAGGGCAUUUUGGUAAUUUCCUCAAUAAACAGGAUAAUGCCAUUUGCCGUAAUCAUAAGUUCAAUGAACCUUUUGUAACUGGCACCCAUCAUAUCACUCCUUAGACGAGAAGGAUAAGGAGGUUUUGGUUUGUAGGGUGGUAACUCUGGCUUAGGGGGAGAUGGUUACAGUAGCCUUUGGAUAGGUGGCCGAGGUGGCUUUCUCAUCCUUCUUCUCGACGCUAAAGUCAAUGAUCAGCGUUGGAGGAAUGAUGACAGGUGUGGACUAUGGAAUGGGAGGAUCCUUACUGGUGGUUCCACUCUUGAGGGUGACACCUUCACAAGAUUCCGAAGUGUCAAAUCCUUCAUUAGUAACAAAGAUUGCUUUUGAUUCUUCUUGCAUAGAAUUGUUUUCUGUGUUGCUAGGGAGAGAGCCUUGUGGUCUCUCACUAAGAAUUUUGGAAAGAUUUUUCAAUUUCAAUUCAAUGUUAUGGAAAGUGGUUUGUUGCCCACGGAUAAUCUUUUCCAACCUCUCGAGUCUGGAAACUUCAUCAGACUUGGAUGUAGAAGAGGCUUGAAUAGGCGGUUAUUCAGGCUUUUGCCCAAAACCAGGAGGUCAUUGGUUAUUAGUAUAGUUCCUCGAUUGAUAGCCUUGAUUAAGACGAGAGGCAGAGUUUCCUUGGUUGAAGGUUGAUCUGUAAUAGGCAUGUUCAUCUAAUUUGUGAAUGUUUUGCUGUUGUGACGGUCCUGAGCAUUGGGUAUCAUGGUUGGUUUGGUAAGAGUUUUGGAAAGACUUGGAUUUAACUUGAUUUCAAAAGUUUGAGUUUUAAUUUUGACCAAAAAUUUAUCAAUCUUGUGGGUAACCACCACCCAAAAAGUCAACUUCUUCUGUCUGGUUAAAAACGGUAUCCCCAGAGUAACAGUCAGUAGAAUCACAUCCUUGAUCCCCUCAAGCAACAUAGACAAAGAUUAUUGCCGUCGAAUUCUAUAGGGUCCUGACGUUCAGCUUGCUCACUUUUUGAGAAAGCGCAUGCAGCUGAGAGAGAACGGGAGAAAUAACCGUCCCAAGGGUUUCAUGACGAAUCACAAAGGAUGAAGUGGUAGGCGGGGUGCUAUGAUGCUUCCCAUGUUGCCUAGUCAAAGUAUGACUACACAUAUCACAUCCAGCAGCCAGGUUGAUCAUUUGUGUGCUUUCCCGAUUGAGCCUUCAAUUGAAAAUAUCGGCUUGGUUUCGGUCAUCGAAGCUGUGAUGAGCGCAAGAGCGGAGGAGGGCUUGGAAUCGAUUGCAUGCUUCAUAUAAUUGUUCAUUAUCUCAUUGCAUGCAAUGGAUAAUUCUCUCUUUUAUCUCACCGCGCUUCUAUGGAGGAAAAAAUACCUUGAGAAAGGCUUUAGCGGGACCGUCCCACAUGGUAAAACUCCCUACUGGUUGAGAAACAAGCCAGAUUUUUGCAGCUCCCUUGAGAGAGAAAGGGAAACGCUAGAGGCGAAUGGCAUCAUGGUGCACCUGUUGGAGUUGUAAGGUGUCGCAUAUUUUGAGUAAGUAUUUGAUAUGUUGGGUGGAGUUAUCGUCCUCUUUCCCCAAGAAUUGGACUGUUUGUUGGACCAUGUAGAUCAUAGCGGGUCGCAAUUAAAAAUUGUUGUCUUCGACGUGGGGUCGGGCGAUGGAGGACCCCAGGUUCUAGAGACUUGGUUUGGCAUAAUCGCCAAGUGUCUUCUCUUCAGCCAUGGUGAAGGAUCCUUUGGGGGAAAUGCUUACGUGAUCUUCGCCAGAGUACUCAUCCUUGGAAUCCGUUCUACCGAGAGCCGGAGGUGCAAUUGUAAUUCCUUCAAGGACAUGUUUAGAAAAUUACCAAGUAAUCCGUCGAGUCAUUCAUUUGACCGAAUAGGAGUUUGGAAGAUGGGAGGAGAGAGGGAAGCAGAAUGAAUGAAUUCGUUGAGUUUUAGGUUUUGGAGGUUUGAAGAAGAAGUUUCGAGAGAGUGUUAAAGAAGGUGAGUGGGAAGAUUAUGGAGUACUUUACUUAGAAACGCCGCCUUGUUGCCAAAACCAAAACUUUCAUUUCAGUUCCAAGGAAAGUAGGGGAGUCACUCAGACUACUUAAAUCCCUUUAAACUUUAGGUAGCAUCUCUUUACGAAAGCCAAAAUAAUCCUCUCAUCUUUUUUAAUUCUCCUUUCUUAUGAUUUUAAAUUUUUUCUAUUUUUCUAUUUUUAGUGUUUAAAUUCAUAUAAAUGAUUGGUAGCAGAUUUUUUUAUUUUUUAAUUAUUUAUUUGGAUUUUUUUGUGGAAUAGGAAAGAUUCGGAGAUGAGUGGAAGAUAUGGAAAAGAUUGAGAGUUCAGUUGAGCAAGAUAAAAUAUUGAAUGGCUGAAAUGUAGAGAGAGAAAAGUUGAGUGACCAAGAGGGGAGCAUGGGAAAUAGUAUCUAGAAAAUAAAUAUAAAAUAAUUUAAGAAAAAGUAUUAUUAUUAAAAGUGAAAAUUUAGUAACUGUUUCGUACAAAAGGAACGAGGUCCACGACAACGACGCCAAAAUUUGAUCACCCCCGUAGGCAAGUUUAAAGAUAAACUCGGAAAAACCGAGGUCGUAUUCACGCGGAUUCAUUCCGAGUAUUACUCCUGAAAGUGCGAAGAUGAAAGUCUAAUCGUUGGAAUAGCGGGUAUGAAAGCACACAAAUCGCAAUCGAGUAUAAUGGAUGAGUGAAACCUGUCCGGAAAUGAAUUCACCAAGAAUCAGAGCAAGGAUGGUCAUUGUAACCCUUCUUCCUUGUUGCAGUUUCAUCAUGAUAGGCUACACCUUUUGUUGUUAGAUUAGGGAUGAUGUGGAUGCAAGGAGAAUCCCCUCAUAAUGAGGGAUUGGACAAGAUUUGGAUGAUUUGUGGGCUUGCUUUGGAUGAAUGUAGGGAGAUUGAUGCAUGUACACACUUGAUUAAACUAGGAGUGUAUCAUUGAAUGAGAAAUUGGUAGUAUACGAGGACCUUCCAUACCCAAUUCAUCCAUCUUUUUUUGUAAAUUGCAUUGACGCAUUUAAUCAAACAUUUGGCGUGCAUUUUGGUUCUUUCUUAGUGGACCAAACUAGGUUUAGAUAGAGUCAUUGGGUGUUGAUGUGACCACAUUAGCAUCCUUCAUAGGUGUUUGGGGUGCCUUAUUUCCUUGUGCAUCAUCAUAUUAUUCCGAUUGAACAUCAUUGAAUGCACUUUUGGCUUAUAAGUUGUUUGUGACCACAACAAGUUAUAAGGUCCAUUGGUACUGUUAGAUAUGACCAUGCAUAUAGACUUUAACGAAUAGGAAUGCAUGGAAGCUUGUAUAGUUUGGUACCUAACAUUACACUUUGGUCAUAAAAUACCCAUCACAUAAUCAUAAAAUAUUCAUAACAUUUGGUUUAUGUUUUUCUCGCAACUCUUUUUGUUGGAUUUAAUAAUCACCACCAGGAUGCCGUUUUUAGAGUCUGUUUAAUGUAUGAUGAUAGAAUUAAAUCAUUUGAUUGGUUAUUCCGUACAUUUUUACAGUGCCUGUGAGGGAAGGCACCCAAACCAUUUUCUCAAAUCAGGACCCGACCAUGGAUGCGGCAUUGAAGAGUGCCAUGCCAAAUACAUACCACGCGACGGCGGUGGGGUAUGAUAGGAAUCCUCUGUCGACACACCCUAACUGUGAUGCAUGUCAUCGGGAGGUUUGAAAGCGAGAAGUUCAACACACUUCCCGCAUAUACAUGUUGAGGAGAUGGACUAGAGGAGCCAAAAUUCGGUUUCAUGACAUAGUUAUUACGCGGCUCCUCUCUCAGGAUGGUGAGGAUGGUGAAAGACUUGCUGAAGUUUGUUUCUAUGAUUAGGGUUGUUUAUAGGGUCGAUCAGUUUCAUAAUAUGUUGGAUGUUGUGGUAGAUGGGUUGGCCAUUCAGGUAUGCAGUAAUCAAAGUAUACUUAUUUGUUAUAUUCACCGUACAUGACUUGUAUAUGGUCAUAAUAUACCUAUUAUGAUAGUGGUAUUUCUGUAGGUUGAACAAGCAUUGACCUUGUAUGAUGGACAACAGCCAAGGGAAACUGUGGUGGCAGAUAGAGAUACCACCAGCGUUGCAGUCGCUACGUGUUGUAGUAGUGUGAUCAGGAGAGAGAUUGCAACGAAGUACACCCCGCAGAGCAGACCAAGUAAGAACAACCAGCGUGGGAAACAUAUCACAGAUACGGUCGCAUGAGGCAGUGUAACAAGUUUAGGAAGAUUCGUGCAAAGGAAGUUCAAUCCGAACAAGCAGUCGCAAUGGACGUGGAAAUGGAGGACUUACUCAAUAAUGAUGUUAUACAUCAGUGCAUCGCAUUUUUGCAGGCACAGGAGAGCACCACUGCUACUGGCAACCCCCCUCGAUUGAGAGUGGCCCUUGAUAGGGUAAUCGUUAAUUAUUUAAUGGUCAUUAUGGAGAAAAGCCUACCUGUAACGCUAGCAGAACUGUAGCAUUAUAUAUGUACACUAGUCACGUAGUUAUGUAAGAACAUUGCCAUAUUAUGGGUAGAUCAGUGACAUAUUUUUGGUAAAACAGUACCAUAUUUUGGUAGCACAGUCUUGUAGUGUUGGAAGAAUAGUGGCAUAUUUUGGGAUGUAGAAGAAGACACAUUGUUCGGAAUUAUAAUAUUAUAUGUGGUGCUAGUAUUGACAUAUUCUGCUACAAGGAUUACACCAUGUGGUAGGUCCACUUCAAGGAAUACAACAAGGAUACUACUGUUACCCUAAACAAUAGGCAUAACAUCAAUGUACAAUAGCCAUAACAACGUUACACAUACUUUCUUAGGUUCAAACUGCCAACCAUUGUUCUUCAAAUGGAAAAUGUGACCUUCAUCGCCAUGGCACUCAAAUGGAAGGCCGUCUGGAUGCUCUGAUAUGAUAGUGCGAAUGACGUUCCCUGCUUCCUUGAAAUUGACUUUAGCCUUCCAAAAGGUAUCCUUCCACAUUUCAAUCCGACUGACCAAGUCAACGUGGCUGCUCCUUUUGUCUCCAGAGUGAAUGAUACCUUGGUCCACGAGGCUCCCCUAUCAAUGAUUUCCAUGCAUAAUACAAACACCCACUACUGUACUAGUAUCAACCAGAACUGAAAGUAUACAUAUCAUUUUUCAUAUUCAUGCAACCUUACUUUCCAAUCGUGACAUUCUAGUAAGUCUCUUGUAAAGCUCCCCAUACACAUAAACUAUGCUCUUAAAUAGGGCAUAAUUCAGAAACCAUUUAUAACGAAACCGUAAGAGUAACAUGGUACUAGCAUACCAUACACAUAUCCAUAACAUAACAUAGAUAUCUAACUAGGAGGGUUGGUCGAAGUUCCAGCUUCUAUGAGGAGGUCCACUACCCCUUCAAUUAAAAUAUGGGGAUGAAGUCGACUCCAUUGUGAGAGGACCAGGCGACAGAAGUACUUGAGCAUGUCCUUAAUCAUAACGUUCUCCUCAUCCCACCACUUCGUUUGGUCCGUUGUAAAACAACCAAUGUGUUGCCCCAUAAAACGAAGUGCCAUACAGGCCACACCUGUGAAUGUCAGGCUUUUGUGGCGCAGACACCACCCUCAACUUGAAGUCCUUGAUAUCCACGUGAGUGUUAAGAAGAACAAAUGACCUCGCAUAUUGCAUUAUCUGUGUUCUUGUCGGCUUGUUGUAUGGCUUGGUCUCAAAGUCCUUCUUAUAGAUAAGGCUAUUGAGAAUAACUCUUUCCUUUUUCUCCAUGUCCAACCCAAAGACAUAGAAGUGCUUGAAACUAUUUCCCCUUAUGUUGGGAAGAAGACCGAACACACAAAUAUAAUAUAGUAAUCACAUCAGAUUGUAUAUCAACUGCAUACCACAAAUACAAUACAUACAUAUUUCACGGAACUCAAGCCCUGGAGGUACUUCUUAUUUAAGAAAUCCUUGCAAGUUGGUGGGAAUUUAGAUUGAGUUAGUGAAAACUCAAUCUCAUUUUCAACUUUUGUCCUAGCAGGAGUUUGAAGCCAUAACACAGUCUAACUACACACAUAAAAAAUCACACUUACUAACAAGGAAUAGUCAGAUUAUACUCAUAACACAGUUAAAUUGGCAACAUAACAGAGGCAAAUUGUAUUCAUAACACACACAUAACAUAGAAAGACAGUUAAGUAACUUUGACGAUUCAAACAAUACUUGUAGUAAUUGAAAUAAGCCCAUAUAGUCUUUUUAUUGUGUUGUUGUUAGCCAGUAAAUUGUCAUUAUUGAACUGGUUGCAGAAUGCAUCAAUCAGUUUUGAUGUGCACCUGGUUUGAAUAAUAGACGGUCUCCAACUCAAGCUUCAUGACUUCCAUGCCUUUUUUUCCGGAAAGUCGCAUAUAAUGCAGCUGUUGAUAGGAAACAAUACUGCACUAGUUGUAGCCAUAACACAAAUGUAACACAAACGUAACAAAACGUAACACAAAUGUAACACAAAAAUAAAGGAUAUAUAACAUAGUGAGAAAUGAUAUGUACUCCCUUUCAACACUAGAUAUGGCAUAAGUUACUAUCUUGCUCUCAACUAGUGUUAAUUCAUGUUGAAGUCUAUUUGUGAGAACGAUCUUCAUGCUAGUCUUUUGUCGGUAAUAUGCAAUUGGAAUUGGAUUCUCUGAAUCACCUACCAAGUCCACUACAACUUGUCUCCACCCGGAGUUGCCUUUGUCGAUCCACCCACUAACUCCAAGAUGGCUUCUUUUGCGGUCAUUCUGUUGGUCCACUUCAACUUCCUUCUAUUUUCCUUGGCAACCUGCUCCUCUUCCUUUUCCUUUUCGGCUUCAUUAUCUUCAACCUUCUCUUCUUUCUUUUCUUCAUCCCUAUCAUCUGACUUCUCAUCUUACUUUUCGUCUGCAUUUGCAUCCUCCUCACAGUCACUACCAUCACAAUUUUCACCCUUGUUGUCAUCAUCAUCAUCAUCAUCAUAACCAUCGUCAUCUUCCUCCUCAUCUUCACCAUUGUCUUUAUCAUCAUCAUCACCAUCGUUAUUGUCCAUGAAAUCACCGUAGCUCUCGUCUUCAAACUCAUUACGAAACUCCACGUCAACAACUCCCUUGCCCUUCCCUAGUAAUAGGUUCUGGACAGACGCACUCCUAUCCAGUCACAACUAUAAUUAGCAAGGCAGUUGUCCUGCAUUGCACCUCGAUCGUCGCAACCUCUGCUAACAAUGUUUGCUGCAAUCAUGGUAUGAAGAUGCCUUCAGAUUAACCCAUAUACGAGAUAUAUAACACUUAGGUAAUUCAAAUAUACCACCAUCAGAACAGUACAAUAGUCGUGAAAAGCAGUUCACUGGCACAUAACAGAACAACAACAUAUCUUACGUUUAACGUCCAUAGAACAUUGUAAUAACACCCAUGGAUCAGUUACCUGUUAUGAAGAUGCAAGUUGUACUAUCGCCGUCUACUUGUCCAUUCUAGGGUUCGUUAAUCAUGUUCCCCUAUGCUGAUGCACAUUCACCCCAAAGGUAAGGAAAUCUAGCUCGAGACUUUGUCGAAAAUGUCUUGAGCCUAAGUGGGAGUAAUAGGUUUCAAGCCAGCUACAAGAGACGCCCUCUCACUCAACAUGAAUGACCAGCUGCCGUUAGGAGUACUUAUCCUUCUCAUCAUUUUGAUGACAACAUCGCAUCUUAGUAGGAACAAGUGGGAUGCUCUUUCGGAUCGAUACCAGAAAGAUCAACCAUGUCCAGAAAAUGCAGCUGACACAAACAACCGAGGAUAUCAAGAUUAGACAAUCAACCAACAGUAGUCUGCAUCAACAUAAGAACACUGUACAACUAUUAUAACACAACGAUAGCAUAAAUAUAAUAGCAAUAUAACUUAACAGUAACACUUACCACCAUGAAGUUCAUGUCCCUGCUGGGAUAGGACGCCUUCUGAUUCUUAUAGUAGUCCUCCAGACCUCUUAGCAGAUGAUUUGAGACGUCAGCCGCCCAAUUAGGAUUAGCAAUCUCAAAGUUGUGAAGGUGAAGAUACUUGGAAAACUUCAUUAUAACCCACCGGGUAUUUGUUGGAACAAGCAACGACUCAAGGGCAAGCAACAUGUACAACUUUGUAUAAGCCGUGGGAUCUUUACAAUUCUUCAUUGCAGCUUGGAGUUGAACUAUGUUGAUGUGAUUGUACUUAUUGCUCUUUGUACCGGUCACCCUUUCAAACUGCUUCAAUACCCUUAGCCCGAAAUGUUGGACAUCCACGUCGGCUAGACUUGUAUACAAGGGCAGACCAUAUACAUGGUGCACGACCUCUGACGUUACGCCCAACAGCUGACCAUCCGGGAACUUGAAAAGACCAAGUUCAGGAACAAAGGAUUGGAGGAGGAAUUGAGGAACCUCCUUAUUAAUCAUCUCUAGUUGUAGAUACAACAACCCAUAGAAGCCAGCGUCAUUGAGACAUAGACAGAUGUUAGUACGAUGCGGGUGGUCGUUUUCAAGUAGAUCAUUGGCAGCCACCAACUGUCCAAUUUUGCAACAGAAUGGCUUGCCAUUUCCCUUCUUUUUCUUCAAGCCAAUCUCCCCUAGGGGGCCCUUCUUUACAAUUGGUUGCUUUGUGGCAACUGCCUUUUCGUUAGCACAACCCUUCUUUGUCGGAUUAGUUUUGGCCACCAGACAAUCAAAUAACAUACUCAUAUUCAUAAUGUACCAAUGUCAUUAUGAUUCUCAUAACAACAAGACCAAACAAAGAUCGACAAUCAUACACAGGUACGUGAUCAUAUCAUAGUAAUAUCAUAUACGUAACAUAGGCAUUACGUAAUACUAAGAAAUACAAAUAGAUACACAAUCAUAUCAUAGACAUAAGAUAGGAAUAACAUAGGCAUCUAAUAUGCAUAACAACCAUAAACAGAAAGAUAAAUUGUAUUACACACAUAACAUAGGAACUUCAUACUAGUAAGUAGCAUAAACAAAAUAACAAUCAUAUCAUAGACAUAACGUAUGCACUUCAAAAUUGUAACAAACAUAGGCGGUCCUCAAAUCUCCCUUUUCUUGGGGGUUAACAGACACUAAUGGUGUUUUGUAGUUAGAGUCAGACUCCAAGCUCUAAAAGGAGGACGAUUCUUUCCGUUUCUGUUUCCACUUUUUGUUGCAUGAACCUUUCUGUACCCCACGUUGAGAUUACUGUAGCUCUGUGAGCCAUUUUAAAGAUUGAUGAGGGGAGAUGAGAACUCCUUUGUUAGUCUUCUCUAUAGGAAACUACGAGAAAGGAGGAAAACUUAUUAGAGCCUUAUAAAAUACCCUAAAAACCAAUCAUAUAUAUACGAAGCCUUAAGGAAGGUACAACAUAAAAAAAAA